UGGUGCAUUGAUUGGUGAAACGGCGGUUGCUGUCGCCCCUUGUUGUCGCUGAUACUGAUAAGAAAUAAAUCUGGACCGAACUGUCCGUCCCCGUAGGAUAUAACCAAGGAUUAUUGCUGUGCAUGCUGGCAUUGCCGAGGGCCAUCUCAUAGCCUGGUUGAUCUGCCUUGCCUUAGACUUGAUCAUGUAGCACGCUUGUAUUUGUAUGGUCCGGUGUGCCACUAUCAUACUACAACUGUUGCGAAAUAAUUAGAAAUUUCAUACUAGAAUGGUGACGGCUCGCGUCUAGAUUUAUCUUGACGUUGUGCCGCGACGAUGAUGCGUUAGCUGGAUGUUCUUCUUUCUUCUUCUGUUGUUUUUGUUUGAGAAAAAAAAAUUCAUGUAUGUUGUAUGAAGUUGCCUUCUGCAAACCAAAACUUAAUUUCUCAGGCGGUGCGUGGGCCUAGUCUAAAUGAGAUUGAAAUUGGGGCAAAGUUGCAGCAAAGAUAUAGUCAGGCAGAGGUUGAAAUUUCCACCAGAACAAACGGUAUUAUAAGUGUGAAUGGAAAACAAACAGAACAUGAGACUGCCAUGGCAUGCCCCUGCAAAUAGCAACAUCAUGAAGGGAAUCACGGUAUUUUCCAGUUGAUGUGAGUAACAAAAUUUGGAUGGAGGCUGUCUCUCCCCCCUCUCCGGGAGCGCUCCUCCGCCGCCCCCGACACCUCCACCGCUGGUGCCAACACGCCGCUCCUCAUCACCACCACCUCCGACGAGGAUCCAUCUCUGCCCUUCUGCCAUGGAACCAACUGCUUUCGAUCUGCGCAGGUUGCGCUCCGGACCACCUUGCGGAUGGGGAACACUGUUGGAAAGGACUUCAAAGAACAACUCUGGCGUUCCUCCUCCUGCUCUGCUCGGCUAUGCAUCUCCUUCACCUCCACCUCUCUCUGGCUACACGGACCCUAGUAGUUGCUCUGCUUCAGGCAACUCUUGGCGGGUCUGCACCAUGCUUCGCCGUGGUGAAGCUUGACCGGCUGAACUACUGCUUCUCUGUCGAUUCAACAACCUCUAAUCACCAGGCAAAACUUUUUACCUUCAAGUUGGUGCCACAUCCCACCCAUCACCCACUUCUUUUGGGCCGCAAACUCUCGCUACACUCCUCGCGUUUCCUGACGAGAUGGCUGACGCUUUUCGCAAAGAAUCAUGUGAUCCCGACAACAGCCUAAACCCGAACCACCUGAUCCGCCGCCUCCGCAAUAGCAUCACUAUGUUGCCAUAGUCCCUUACCGAAAAAGGCUUUUGCCCCGCUUUAUAUAUAAAGCAAACCACACAUUACAACUGGCAGUACAACAAGAAACGGAAAAUAAAACGACAUGAUACACAACACUACGGAACGACUAACGAGCUCCGAAGGACCCAUAGGACAUCUGAGCCCACGACAGCCUCAGAUCAUGUCAUCAACGCCUGCGACAAGGGAGCUAUUCGCCGUCGAAGGAAAGCCACGCUCCGUCCCUCCCAAGGCCAAACAUGUUGUCCCGUCGCUGCCUUCGAAGAGGGCACCCCUACCCUCUCGUCCUGGAUCGAAGGACGCCGUCCCGUCGGCAGGGAGAGCAGCUCACCCCCGAGCCCGCAUGGACAGGCUAACUAGUUGCCGGGGAAAGGACAACGGCCGUGGCGACCUCACCUCUGAAGGAAACCCAUUGUCUCCGCCCAAGACCCAAAAGCCCACCGCAGCUGCGGAGCAAGGACACUACUGAAGACCGGCAGACAACCACUGCACCAAGCCCCUAACCACGAAGAGCUCCCAAGGCGUCGCCUUCAAGAAGUAAGCGACGUUGAUGCAUCGGCGCUGCCCAAUCCAAAGAUUCUAGGCUUUCGCCCGGGACCAAGAGGCGGAGGGCUGGGUGUAGGUCUCGAUGUCACCCACACAGAAGAAGAACGGCGCCACGGGCCCCGCCAACAUCGUGACCGGCCUCGCUAGUCAAGGGUUUCCCCCGACCUAGAGCCCACACCCAACGCCCCUUCGACCUGCAGAAAGGGAGAACCAUAGGGCGCCCAAAUCCCUGCUGGACGUGAAGAACACUACACCAGUGAGGCCGCCACCACCUUCAGAUAGGUACCAUGCUCACUGCUGCCUCAUCGCCCGACGCAGCCAAGGAUGACACCAUGUCUUGCCUGCGCCACCCCCCGUUGAAGAGGAGGGGGCACCCUAUCCAGCAGUGGUUGCCGCCACCCACGACACCCUUAGAUCGGCCAGAUCGGACGCGCCGACCUAGCCCAUGCCACCACCAGAUCGGCCUCGCACAGCCGAGCCCCUGCAGCCAGCACUGAGGCCGUGCCGCCGCCUCCUAGCACGUCAACUACCAGGUCCACGCAUCCCUGCCACCGGAGAGCCUGUUGGACCCAGCCCCCUCCCCCCGCGAGCGGUUGACCCGCGCCGUUGUGAUACAGGGGAUGGAGGGGAGAAGCCCCGCCGCCGCCAACACCACACGGGCUUCUCCCGACGGACGCCAUCCGGCAGCGGCAAGGAGGAGGAGGGGACGCGGGAGGGGCCUCUCGCUGGCGGCGGAGUUGGAGAUCCCGUGACGGGCGCGCGGGGCACGCCGCGGGAGGAGGUGGGUGGGUGGGAGGGGGGGCUCUAUCAUGUGACGAUGUUUUAGAACCGCCAUAGUCCCUUACGACCGGGUUUUAAAUUCUGAUCUCUCAUGGUAGCUGCGUACCAAAAUGCAUGUUACUCCCACUCCAACUUUCAAAAACCCACAUCUAAAAAUGCUAGCUAUUUGGAUUAGCUUCUCCCCAUCUAUCUCUACCUAAUAAUAAAGCACAGAGGGUUUCUGCCCGUCCGUCGCACCAUUUUGCAAAAAAUCCCCUACGUUUUUAUGAAAUCAACCCGCAGUCCGGUUUUAAGUCACACCGAACCAUUAUUUUACAUUUUUUUGAAAACCCCCCUGACUUUUUAGGUAUUCCAUCCGCGGGUCAUAUUUAAGUCAAACAAAUGCUUUUUUAAACCAUCCAUAUCUUUUAAACCGUAACUCCGAUUUAAACAUGUUAUAUAUGAAAUUUGAUUAGAAAAAUAUGUAGAAUAUGAAUAUAAGAUUAUUUUAACCUGUUAAGUAUUUAUAAAUAUUAUUUUGGAAGAUAUUUAAUUCAAACAAAUGGUUUUUUAAAUUAUAUGUAUCUUUUAAACCGUAACUCGGAUUUCAACAUGUUAUAUAUGAAAUUUGAUUAGAAAAAUGUGUGAAAUCUGAAUAUGAUGUUAAUUUUACCUUUAAAUAUUUUUUAAAUAUUUUUUUGGAAGCAAACUUAUAACUAUAGCGCACGAUCCAUUUUUCUUUCGUACAGGCGGCGAUCCGGAUUGCAAAUAAACAACCAUUAUAAUCAUAUAAGGAAAAGAAAACAUCGAGAACUACACAUGCAUACCUCUGAAUACGUCGCAGGGGAAAACAACAGAUUUCUCAUCGUGAAUGUGAGAGAAAGCGAGAGAGAGAGGGAGAGGGAGGAGAGAGGGAAAGAGAGACGUCUUAGGAUUAACCACAUUCAAACACGUUUUGGUUUGUGUGAACACUAAGACCACCGCCGGCGAGGAUGAGAAGAAGGAUAAGCGGCAACAUAAAUAUGAUGCGUCGCUAAAAUAAAGAAGAUAGACGUACUGUGGUCUUAAGUGAUGGUUGUUCGGUUAAGAGUGUGUUGUGUUUUUCUCCCGUUGCAACGCACGGGCUCUUUUGCUAGUACCUACUAAUAAAGCAAGGUGCGUUUCACCAGUUUUUUCAUCCGUUCACCGUCGAAAAGAUUUUUUUUCUAUCCGAGGUGGUACUAAAUUCUUAUGCGUUCGUCUGCUAAAAAAAGACUUUUCCGGAAUUUCGUGCGUGGGCUGCACACUGUGGCCCAACGAAGUCAACCCACUUAUUUUUCUGCCCACGCAACUGUGCAAAUUCUAUUUUCCGCACAGGGCGACAAAUAGUCGGAGCUUCGCACAGGACAACGAAUAAUGGCUGGACUAUUUUCCUUUGUCUCUGUGUUUUAUUUUUAAUCUCCUUCCCCUAUCUAUUUUUUCACUUCCAGGUUUAUUUUUCUUAUAGAUUUCAUAAAUUUAAAAUUAUCAAAAAACAUUCAGAAUAAAAAAAAAUUAUAGAAAAUGUUCAGAAUUCUAAAAUUUGUUGCUAUUUUGAAAAAUAUUCGGAACUAGAAAAAGUUUCCAAUUUUUUUGAAAACAUUUAUUGUUUUUGAAAAUUGCUCGACAUUUCUAAAAAGAAAAUGGAAAUUUGGAAAAUGCUUCAAAUUCGAAUAAUAUUCUUGUUUUAGUGAAAUUUUCACAAUUGAAAAUAAUGCUAAAUGAUACACGUUUUUGGAAAAUGUUAUGAAUUUUCAACACAUGUUCCGAUUCUAAAAAAAUGUUCACAAAUUCAAAUAAUGUUCACGUUUUUACUAAAAAGUUGGUGUUUUUUUAAAAAUGUUUAUCGAUUUUAAAACAUGUUCCUAUGUCAAAUUUUGUUCAUGUUUUUCUGAAAGUGUACAUAGUUUUCAAACAACUGUUCAGGAUUUAAAAAAUGGUUCAUGUUUCCUACAAUAUUCAGAAACUUCUUACCUUAAAAUCUCCUCGAUUGAAAGAAAAGUAGAUUGAAUAAUUCAUGGGCCUUUUCUAGCGUACGAUAACGUAAUAAAACUUUUAAAUGCCCUCAAUUAAUUAAUGGAAAAAUAGCGGAUUGAUUACUUCACAUCCGGCGAAACGGAGAAGCUGAAUGUUCAUUUUUCACGCGCGCAUAGGGUUUUACUUGCACAAAUAAUUCUCACUAAUUUUAAAUGCAUACUAAUUUUUCUCCCGUUGCAACGCACGGGCAUAUGUGCUAGUCUUUCAUAAAACCAAGUGCCUUUUUAGUCAAAUAAACCCUUGACCAUCUGUUCUCUGGGUUUAGCGCUUUCUGUGUCUGUCCCUACCAAGCUAAUGUUUUUCGGUCAUAGGUGUCAUCAGAGAUGAUCAAGCCUAAGGGCAACUCCAACACGUUGACCCAAAUGAAUGGUUGGAUUUUGUCCGCCGUUUGUCCGUUGGGUACAACCAUGUGGAUGCCGUAAUCCGGUUUUGUCCAUCAGCACGUAGGUAAAAUAUUAAAUAAAAGCAGCCAUCAACCCGCGCAGAAGGUUGCCAGCGCCGCCGCCUGCGCAUCCUGCUGGUGCUGCGACGCCUGCUGCUACAUUGCUUGCCGCUCGGCCUCCAUCUCACGCUUUGCUGCCUGCUACUUGGCCUCCAAUGACUGCCGCUCGGCCUUAAACACGUGCUGCUCGGCCUCCAUCUCACGCUUUGCUGCCUGCCGCUCAGCCUCCAACGAUUGCCGCUUGGCCUUAAACAUGUGCUGCUCGGCCUCCUUGUCGGCCGCCCACCAACACGGGCCAGCACGACACAUACACGGCACCAUGCUCGUCCACGAAAACGAAUGCCAUGGCUCCACAUGCUUAGGCGCGGGCGAUGCUGGUGGCGGUGGGGGUGUGUUGGCGUCCACUCCGGCCGCCGAUUCGGCCAGCAUCUGCGCAAGGCAAGGCCACCUGGCCAGCUCUUAGCGCUCGAACUCCUCAAUGGCCAACCUUGUGGCCUCCUCGAGGGCCGCAAUAUAGGACCCCUGAUCCUCCUCCUUUAGCACGACGACAGUGGAGGUGGAGCAGAGAGCGCGCUGUGGUGCACGGGGCGCACCCUAGAAGGAGGACCAACGACGCUGGUCGUGCUCGAUGGCGAACCACGCAUCCCAGUUUGGUGAGUCCACCGUGUACGUUGAGUCAUGAUGGAACCCGACCGGGAGGUGAGUACGACGACCGUGGAUCUCCGCCAACCGCACGCGGCCUGAGACCAGCAUCGCCGGGACCGGCACACUGUCGGGGUUGAGAUGCCACCCAUGUGGUAGGUUGACAUUGGGCCACGACACCGGCACACCGUGCUCCCGGUAGUACCGUCAGAGGUGGACCAUCACGUAUAGGCGAAAGCGUGCUCGCGACUUAGUACCUGGCGGCGCCAUGGUUACGUAGGGCGAGUCACGGUGCCAGUACGAGUUGCCGGCCUCGUGGCCAUGCUUGCCAGCCUUCAUGGUGGGCGGCGAGCUAGGGUUGGUGUCCGGCGGCUUGGGGGCAAGAGGAAAAAGAGGAUUGGUGAGGAAGUGGACUGGGCGCCCCCCACCGCACAUGUGGCAUUAAAAAGGAUGCACAUGGACUAGUUUGUGUGGCUGACUUGCCUGCCCGAGCGUACGCGUGAAUUACAUAAGACUGGUGGGAGGUAGUUGGAGGUCCGGCCCGAGGUGGACACCAAGUGGACGCGCGGCGCGUUCAUUCCAUGUCCAUAUGGACGCAAUCGGGCCCAAAUUUGUUGCGGAAAUGCAUCCACACGUACACGUGAAGGACAUAAUUUGCGUUGGUGUCCUCACGUUGGGCCGUGGUUUUUAGACUCGUGGACCCAAACAGACACAACCGCACCAAAUGGGUCGGCGCAUUGGAGUUACCCUAAGCUCCUCGCAAAAUCUCCUCGUACAGCGCCAGGUCUUGGACUACAAGUGUAGAAGUGCAUGCUCUAGCCAAUUUGGGGUUUAUGAUGUGGGCAGCGAAAGCGGGGCAGGGCACAAUUAUUUAUUGCGUCCUCUGGAUUGUAAGUUUAUGCACCUAACCAGUUCACCCAUCAGACCGAUCUGAUGGAAGAGACUAAGCAAUACUUUUAUACGUCAACACUCCCCCUCACGUGUGGCUCCCUCAGGCCUAAACGUGGACCGAAAGUGGGGUGCAAUUUAAUUGCCCCAGCCGGGUCUUGAACUCAAGACCUCUUGGCUCUGAUACCAUAUAGAAGUGCAUGCUCUAGACAAUGAAAUCAAAAGACCGGUCUAUAGGAGAGGGUUGGACAUUAUACUCUAACAAUAACUUUUCGAAGCCCUCCCGCCCGUUAGUGACACCAAAUGGCCACUGCUUUCCCAACACUUUACUCACACCACCUCAUACAAUAUGCUUUUGUAAAUGAGAUUAUGCAUGAAGAGAUCGGCUCUGCCCUGCGUAAUAGACUAACCUCUGUUGCUACAAAGGAACUUGCUGCGGUACGCGUUUUACUACAGGGGGUGCUCCUCAACGAUCACGAUCAGCAAGAUAGAAGAACUCUGAUUGGUGGCGAAAGCUUGCCAACAAAAAUGCUUACUCUACAAUGUACCAAGCAGUGAUGAUCCCGCACUGGCUCAGGUCAGGUCCUCCAAAGUCCCAAACUAGAUCAAGGUUUUUGGACGGCUACUCCUACAUGAGAGAUUAAACACGAGCAAAAAUUUAGUCAAGAAGAAGAUUGUCGACUCCACGAACUGCCCCCUAUGCUUGCAAGCACCUGAAGACUGCACCCACCUCUUCUUGCUCUUCCCAAAUGCUCGGGCUAUUUGGGGGGCCACGGGCAUCAAAAUCAUCUAGAGCUUUAAACUAUAACCGCACAUUCCAGCAUCUUUGCAAACAUUCAUGACCUUACUAAUCACUCUGGAAAAUCUGUGAUUCGAAGAACACUUGGGUAUUUAGGAAAAUUUGUCUCACGGCUAUGAAUGUACUUAAAAAUAUUUCGGAUGAUCUGUUACUUUGGUCGCAUAGGCUAAAGAAACCAGAGCAAAAGAAAGACGCCUGUCUGUGGCGUGCCUACUUUUUUCUCUCGGUAAAUGAUACAAUGUCCACCAAUCUGAACUAAUGAACUGCACAUUAGCAGAAUCUAGUGCAGCGGAUCAAAAUUCACGUAAUUCUUGUCAGAACUAUUUGUGGCACCUGAAGCUAUGUGACAGAAAUGUACUUGCAUGUAGUAUGUAUUACAGUUUUGGUACUGUGAAGUGAAGCUGAGAGAUAGAGAGAGUUGAAAUAUGUUUAACAAUGAGGUUAGCAACCAACUCUCAUGAUCCCAGCGAGCACAAAUCAUAGGUGCGGAGUUUAAUCCCCCCAUCGGUUAAAUCUCAUAAAAAAAUGUACAAAGGCACAUUUUUUUCACAUUUGCUUUGCUCUCAUUUAUUUCUUCUGAAUACAAAUGUCGGAUGUAUUCUCCUUCUUUUACUUGACCUGCUCAAACAAUUUAAUGUGUAUGCAUGAUACAAUUUAAAUCUCAUAUAUCUGUCCGAUGAGGCUUCAUCCAAGAUCUCAGCCAAACCUCUUAUGGAUUAAUGAAUGCAGACAACUACGACGUCCUAGCUAAUAAUUGGUAACACGUCAUGCAUUGCACAAGCACUCAAUUUCAUCUACCAACUGAACCUACUCAAGAGGAAAACUUACCAUGCACAACUAAUAUUUUUCAGAUCAAUUUCUAGACAAACUAAAUGACGGGAUGCCUUUGAGUCUUGAAGGUUUUAAAACUCCUUCAAAGCCAGAGAUCAAAGAAGGAAGCGGAAUGAAUGAGCUUGUCAGUUCUGUCUAAUAUCUCAACUAGCACCAUCAUACAACAAAAGUUGUAUUGUGGAUACGAUACCUAGACCAUCAAGAUGUUGUUUGGUAGAUAAAAGUGGUAUUUUGAUCCCCGGUUAAAUAAGCAGAGGGCAGGAUAGUGCAAACAUGAAUGAAUAAGGUGAAAUAUGGAGAGCCCAACACCAUCGAAGAAACUUGACAAGCAUGUGGCAUAUAUGACAACGAGUAACAUGCAUGCCUCAUGUGCUAUAUUUCAAAUAAGAUUGUUAUUUCUGGGUGCAAAAACCUAUACAUCCGGGAAGCAUGUGACAAGACUUUGUCCAUGGUCUGUCACACUAUUCGGAUAAUCUUCCUUAGACUUGAUUAUAUAUUAGCUAAAUAAAAUUCAAAGUAUCAAAUAGAUGCAAACUUCAAAAGUACUUACCCAAAUACACAGAAAGUUAAAGGCAAUAAAAAAACCAAAUGAUAAGUGGCACUCCGGCCUUGCCGUUUUUCGUUGGCAAUUCCAGUCACUGAAGGCCAGGGUGACAAAUUUCAAUGACUCACGAUAAGUUUCCGUCAAAAAUAAACUGAAGCAUGAAAGUUGUCAUUCUUGACAACUAAAGUUACCAUUCUCGCAUCACUAACUUGCCGUAAAAAAUGUUCGAAGUUACCAUGUGCUCGUACCUGACGUGUAGCACUUGUCAGGGUUCAUAGUUCGUCAAGCGUUCAUAUAUACAUAUAUAUAAAGUAAUUUGGGAGCCUUUAUGAUUUAGCUGUUUAUGGCAUGACAGAACUUCCUGCCCCUUCAUCCCCGUGAGCACCUCGAUGUUUACCAUCUUGACCAUGCAUUGACGCCGCAAACCACACCUUCCACGUCGUUGAGUCAGCAGUGCUUUCAGCUACAAUCGCUGGCAUGUCACAGCAGGUGAGCAGCGGCGUGUCCAUGGUUUGUCUAUCUCAGUAAUCUUCCAAUACUUGAUUAUAUACUACUCCCUCCAUCCUAUAAUAUAAGACGUUUUUUGACACUAGUGUAGUGUCAAAAAACGUCUUAUAUUACGGACGGAGGGAGUAGUUAAAUAAGAUUUAAAGUAUCAAACACACCCGCGGACUUCGAAAGAACUUAUCCAAAUAGACAGGAAAUCAACGGCAAUUAAAAAAGCGCACCUUUUCAAGCUAUGUAAAAAUUCGUUCUUUGAGGUUACAAAAAACCAGAAAAGUAGUUUUACAUGUGAAUCAUCUAACCAAAAUACCGCAGUAACUGACCGGCUGUCACAAGGAGAAAUCUUGAAUGCAGUGCAAAAUGAGGCACAUAAGAAAAAUCACCAAAUCUAAGUGUGUCUUAACAAUUUAGCUGUUUAUGGUACGGCAGAACUUCCUGACCUGCCCAUUCGUCCCUGUAAGCACUUCGAUGUUUCCCAUCUUCACCAUCGACGCCGCAAACCGCACCUUCCACAACAAGGAGUCCGCAGCGUUUUCCUGCACCUUCGCCCCUGUGUCGUUGCGGGUGAGCAGCGCCGCGUCCGACGUGAACAACACUCGCCUAGCGACAGCGUUCUUGAAGAACUGGUUGCUCAGCGUCGUCGGCGCCACCGCGCUGUUGUUCACCACCGGGUCCGGCGCACCACGCACCGGUGCUGGGCACGUCUUCUUUAGGUCUGUGGCGUAUGCGGAGUCCAUUGUCGUGUCCACCUCAGGGUACAGCCGGUUGGUGAAGCCGGAGCAGUGUGCCACACCGAUGGAGUGCGCGCCAGAGAGAGCCACGAGGUCAUCAACAUUGAGCCCCUUCCGGGUGAAGCUGCCGACAAGGUCCUCGAUUCCGAAGAAAGGCGACGGCAUGUUCGUGACGACGGAGAAGGCUUUCGACACAUUGCCGUCACGCCUCCCGGAGCGGACGUGGUAGGAGAAACCGGCGGAUUUACUGACAGAGUCGCGUGCGGCGAAGGCGAGGACAUCGGCGCAGGAGACCGUCAAAGGACACACGGCCUCGACGGCCGCCUUGAUCUUGUCGACGGCCUCAUACCCAGCCAAGGGAAUGGCUGACUUUUCCGGCUGGGGGUUGGAGUUCGAGGAGUCCAGAAGGAUGGAAGCGUCACAACCCUAGUGACAUCAACGUCCAAAGUUGUUAGCUCAACGCAAAAACAUAUAAAAAGUUAAACUAAGUGUAGACAUUGUAGAACUAUUUUCAGUCAUGUUAUAAUAAAUGGAAAUUAUAUCAUCUUGAAGCAAUGGUAUAUUGGGAUGUUCAUAUAUAACACAAAGCAAUAAUAAUAAGAAAGAAAGGAAGAAGGAAAUGUUAAAGUUAUGAAAACCAGAAAUUGAUUACGUACCAUUACAAAGCAAUCGUGGAAGUGCAUGCGAAUUAAGGCCGCAGCAAUACUUGGGUUGCCGUCGAUCAAGUUGUAGACGGUAUUCUUGAUUGUUUCCUCGGCGUUGGGGCACGACGAACUGUAGAAAUUGUAGGGCAAUUCUGCAGAUGACAUGGUGAUGAGCGUAGCCUGGAAGGCCACCAUGAGCAGCUGCACGCAUGUCAGCUUCACCAUCUUGCCCAGCUUCCUGAAGUUCUACGCUAAACAACAAGGGAUAGUAUCAAAUGGGUGGAAAAUGUGCCUGAAAGAAUGUAUGCCGGCAGAUGAUGUGAUGUGCAAGGCAUUGGAUGUAUUUAUAGACACGUACAGGUUACAGAUGCAUGUAAGGAUCAAUCAUCUUGGACAUUUAAAUUGACGUAAGGGAUUUGAGGAAUAUUUGGAGGUCAAUUAUCACAAGAAUAUUAGCUGGUUGUUGUCUAUGAACAUGGGUAGCAACACAGCUAAUCAUUCGGAAUUGUGUAGGCGUUGACAUCAGUUGCAUGCCUAUCCUAGUGCAGGUGAAUUUCUAUACUAGAUGAUUUGACGGUUGUGAUGAUUGAAGUAAUUGACCUAGAAUGACGUCCUUUGUGCUAUUUUGUUAUUAAUACAUGCAAGCUCAUUAUUAAUUGCUGCUUUCUUUGUCCUAAUAAUAUGGAGCAAAAUUCACUUGUUUUUUCGUUCUCCCUGCAUUUUGAAGUUUUCGUUGAUGUUUCCUUAAGUCAUACUGUACGCUAGCUAAAACACUUUAGAAUACCCGCAUCUCUAAAAAUUAGUAUUACCUCGGUCCCAAAUUCUUAUCUUAGAUUUGUCUAGAUACGAAUGUAUCUAACAAUAAAACGUGUCCAGAUACAUAAAACUUGUCUUGCAGGUGAACAUGGGUUGCACAAGCUAAAAAUUGUGUUGUGCUAAUCACACAACUUCACAAAAGGUUCCUUGGAGAUCACAAGCAGCCCAUCGUGCUGACAUGUCCGUUUCUUCUUCUUUUGUAAGAAAAGACACCUUUGAUGUGCAAUGUAUUGGAUGUAUUAGGAGUUUAGGACAGAUGUAUGUAACUACUAAUCAAUUAGGAAAUAUAAAUAAAAUAAGGGAUUUGUGGAAUAUUUGGAGUCAAUAAUCACAAGUAUAUUAAACAGUUUUUUUUGUCUAUGAACAUGGGGAGCAACACAGCUAAUCGUUCAAAUAUUGUGUAGGCGUACUGGUUGACAUGCAUUAGUUGCAUGCCUGUCCUAGUACCAGUUGAUUUCAAUAGAGAAUUUGACGGUUGUCUUAAUUGAAGUAUUUGACCUACAACGACGUCGGUUGUGCAACUAACAGCAUACAUGCAGGUUAUUAAUAUUAAUUAAUGGCUUGCCCCCCUAAUCAUUUGGAAGGGAUUACUUUUUGAGUGCGCAUGCCUCUUUUUGCGCAUUUUGAAGUUUAAAUUGAUUUUUUUAUUCUAUAUUUCUAAGAAUGCUAGUUGGAACACUUUAUAACACCAGCAUCUCUAUAAAUAACUUAUAAGCAUGUGUGCGUUUACUUUCUGUGUAUUUCGACAAGUACUUUAGAAGUAUGUCCUUGUUUGAAACUUUGGUUUUUAGUUAGCUACUAUAUAAUCAAGCGUAAGGAAGGUUACCGGAUAGUGCGGCAACCAUGGACAAAUCCUAUCAUACACUACAUGGAUGGAUAGGUUUUUGCACCCAACGGUGGAGGUAGUGUCAUUGUGUAACCACAUGUAAGACACUCGUGGAUGGGGCUCUCCCCCCUCUCCUUUAAUAAAUGAUACACACGCUUGUGCGUAUUCUAGAAAAAAAAAUUUGCUCCCAAAAACAAUAAGCUAAUUGCCAACACGGGUCGUGAAUUGCACAUUUUACAUGGUACUCCCUCUGAGUAGUGAUCUAAAAGAUCCUAUAUUAGUUUAUGGAGGGAGUAUCAUACUUGUCACAUGCUAGUCAAGUUUCCUCGGCAAUGUAGGGCUCAAUAUAUAUCCUCUCAUAUUUCACCAUAUUCAUUCAUGUUUGCAUUAUCCGGCCUUUUGCAUAUUUAGCUGGGAAUCAAAAUGCGACUUUUAUCUACCAAACAUCAUUCUGAUGAUCUAGGAAUCAUAUAGAAAAUAUAUUUAUGGGGCACCUAUGGCUCAGGUGCCUUAAAAAUAUAUUUGUUUCAGUCGAUUCUUCUAUGAACCGUUGGAUUCACAUCGAAGGUACAUCAUUGAAGCGUUCAGCUAUUUGUCCUGUGUUGGCUGAGACUUGCGUUGUUUCAGUAAUGACUAGACCAUAAAGGCGCGUUGCCGUGCCCGUGUAUCUUAGCAAAGGAAUAUACUUAUACUUGGUAAUGCCACGAUGGUUUAGAUAUGUUUUGUAAUAUGUGAUGAUUUAAGUACCUACCAAUAAAAUGAAUUUAUAGUGUAACAUGAAUUCACCCACCCAUGCACACAUUGUCAAAUUGAUUGGUAUGGUGGGGAGCAUAGAAUAAAUGGACAACAAAGCUUAGAUAGGCGAGUGCACAUGCUAAGUGCAAAGCAGCAUGGUUUAGCAAGACACCUAAAACUAAAAAAAGUCUAGCAUCUCUAUCGACACUGAAAAAUCCAAAAGUUUAGUGUAUGUGAUAGCAUCAAAUCCAUCCUGUCUAACACAAUGGAGAGAUCAAUGUAUGUAAUAUUAUUAAUAUCAAAAUGGAAAUGGAAUACAACUGCAAUGACUAAUGGUUGUGUUCGUUUCAUCUUAAAUGCUUGGAGAUUAUUUGGUAUAAACUCAUAAAGCCCGUAAACAUUCCUAGACAGCUUAUAUUUAGUUCUUGUAUCUUUAUUAAGGGUAUAACAUCUUAAGCUUCAAGUUAAAAUCGGCAAGCAUAAAUGGUAAUGCUUAGGUAGAUGAUAUUAGUCUAGACGUACAUGUAAGAAACAUGAUCCUUACUCUAUGACCUAUGGGGACACCCUCGAAGGCUAGAUGGAAAUAUAUUGGCCUGAGAAUUUAGAGAAUCGGUCAAAUCAUGCCUUGAUGAUGUGGAAUUUCCAUGACUGAUGAGCCUGAAUCUUGGGCGAUCAGAGACCAAUUACACGGGGAAGGCCCAUGAAUAAAUCGCUUUCCUGCGAUCAUAGAAUUAGAUGUGUUGUAAGGAUUUUAAAUGACAUAAUUUGAACCACGAAUUUGCAGCAAAUCUCUUACCCCUUCUUACGUGCUAGAGUUCAGAAUGGAACACAACGCUUGAGUGAUAUGAAAGAACAUCCAGCAAACAGCAGCGCACCAACAAGGUAGGUGAGUCGGGAAGUAUUGUUGCACUCCUGUCCCGGGUAACGAUGAAAGUAGGAUGUCAACGUCGGCGGACGGGUUGCCGUCAAAUGGAGGACACGCCUAAAGAUCUGUCGCCACCGCCGGGCCUAGGGUUGGUGGCUGUCAAAACGGACCGUUGACAGUCCGCGCUGCGAGAUUUCCAGCGCUACCGCUGUGGUAGAAAACCUCAAUAUAUUUUGAGAGAUCGAGGCAAACAGGGAGUAUGGACCUCCACAACCAGCAACAAUUACGGAAGGGGGCAGCGGAGUUCCAUCGCCAUGAAUCUGCCGCCGGUGAUCUGAGGUCGCAAACAGGGAUUAUUUUUUUGAGACAAACAGGGAUUUUUUUUGGGAGACAAACAGGGAUGGAAUUACAACUCUGGAGUGAGGUUUAUAUUGGGCCGUCCAAUCUAUUGGUCAGGUGCCACGGCCCAGUGCACGAGAGACCUCCCAGGACGGUUUGCGGAGCAGUGGCCCCGGUUACAUUUGCAGGCUGUUUCGCACAGCGGGUUUUGCGUCGGGUGAGGCACAAGUGGGCGCUGCGGACGACCUGAUCUGGUGCGUUUGUUGAUGGAUCCAACGGUAUACUUAUUGAAUCGCUGUGAGUCGCUGUGAGUGCGCGUAGGUAGCUGUUAUACUGUUUAGUAGGAGUAAUUAGUAGCAAGGCGGUCAAAGCCCAAAGACCAACAAGAAAAAAAUACUAGUACUACUAAACAUCAUCUAAGCCCACUCCAUCAAAAGCCAUCAAAUAACUAGAUGGCUGGUGUUGCUAAAAAAAAAACCAGAUGGAUGGUGUUAGUAGUAGUUUUUUUUGUCUUUUUUCUUGAGAGAGACGUACUAGUAGUGCUAGACAGUAGUACUACAUAUCAUCUAGCACGUGGCUAUAACUAGUUAAUUGUGCAUACGCCCGCAUUUUACAUGCAAAGCACUUGCAUAAGCAUCACCAUGUAUAUGUAUGCUUCGCUUUGACAGUUAUAUUUGCUUUCACACAAAUACAUAAUAAUAUAUAAGAAAAUAAUAGAGGGGAAAAGGAGGAUACUAAAAUCCAAAUUCUAGUCUACUAUAUUUAGCAACCAUCAUCAUGCCAAGUCUUUUAACUAGAAUCAAUAAAUUGCAUUGGUUAUAUCAAAUUUCUUUAACAUUUUACACCAUGCAUUUUAAGAUGUGGAAGUAUAAGAUCAACACAACGAGUUUGUGCAAAGAACAUUUUUAAUCUAGAAAUGAACAAAGAAGACUGAAUUGCAAUCUAAGGAAUAAAUAAUCAUGUAAAUGGUGUUACCCAAAACAAGAAUGUGAAAAUCCGAUGAAGAAAAAACAGUCUAGGGAAGAAAGAAUUCUAGAAGCAGUGUUACUUCAAAAAUUAUGCAAAGUAUAAAAGCCUACUAAAGAAGAAAUUACCAUGAAAAUUGUGUUACUAAAAAACCAUUAAAAAUGGAAACACAAAAAAAGUAUUCAAAGCGUAAAUAAUGGGUCCAACUCAGAUGAUUUUUUGGUAUAAGUCACUUUUUUGGUGUAAGUCACCUUUUCUUUGCUACGUGUUACUAGUUUUUCUUUUACUACACAUGUAGACUUGCACAACCUUUUCCAAAAAGAAAGUUUGUAUAUAAUGUCUAGGGUUAAUUCACAUAUGUGGUCGUGCACUUGGUUAAAAAUAGCAACGACAAAGGGGACGUACAGUACGCAUAAUUACUUUUCUUCCCAUUACAGAUAAUCAUAAUCUAAAAACACAAUAAUACUAAUAAUAAUACUAGUGAAUUGUGCGUGCUUUGCCCAUCAUUGAAAUAUAUAAAAACAUGAAAAAUACAUUUGAAUAUAUAUUUCCUUUCCUAGAAUCGUAUUGGACAAGAUCCAACUUGAUUCUUACCUCUCUAGCAUCCAGAUUGUUCUAGUCUCUUUUUUAUGAGAGAAUCAGAUAAGCAUGCGGAAAGAUGCUUCUAGAACGCAUGAGAUAAUAGAGUUGGGGCUUCAGUUAAAAACGUGCAAGAAUCCUAUGUGUUGGGGAUAUUACUACUGAAUAUAAACCGGCCUGGAGGGGCCGGGUUAUGCCCAUAAGGAGUUAAUCAUAUUUGAAGCCCAUGAAGACAAGGAGUAUGGCGCUUUACAGAGGAGAUCUAACACGGAGGCCCAGGGCCCAAAGGCGGAUUAGGGCCCAUAGUCAUAAACCGCCAUAUGAUAUGUAACUUGUGUUGUAAGAUAAGAAAGGGUAGAAACCGAGCCGGACACGUUGAUGAGCCAGCCUCGGGAUUCUGUAAACCGCCGGGCGUCAACCUGUGUAUAUAAAGGGACGACCCGGCGGCGGUUUAGGGACAACAAACAACAGUUCGAGAGCCAGGCAUAGCGGAUUCACUCCCUGGUCAUCGAAACCCUACCAAUUCCACAUCAACUGGAUUAGGCCUCUACCUUCACCGUAAGGGGCCGAACCAGUAUAAACUCCCUACAUCCUUUGUCCGCUUUAACCCCUUUAAGCUAACCCGUCGCGAUGGCUCCACGACUAUGUCCUUCCACUAGGACAUCUGCCGUGACGAACGAUUUUGUUGCAAUAGACCCGAAUCAUUGUAGUGGUGGAGCUAUCGCACGAUGGUUUCGAGUUCUUAGAGGGCAGCUUCGAAGAGCUCAAGGGAUACGCUGUGGGCCGGAUGACCAAGAGUCAUCGCGACAAGCUCUACAUCGACGACGCAGGCUGGGGCCCCGAGGCCGGCUCAAUUGAGUACGGGUACCGGGUCCCCUUCGGCGGCAUUCACGUUUUCAUUGGCAAGAUCGGCGAACCAGGCCCUGAGCUGGACAUCUGCACCGACCUCGUCGAAACGGCUCAGCGUGCAAGACCUGCCCGGAUUCGGCCCGCCGUGAAGCGUGCCUUCGUGGGAGUCAUCCACGGAGCGGAAUCUGAGGAUAGAUCGGUGUCUAGUGGUGAAACCGUCGUUUACUCUGAUGACGAGUCAUCUACCGGAGAGACCGAGUCAUUGUACCAACUGCAAGAUGGCCAGUUUGGGGGCUGUUCCAACGGCGACAGUAUUCCGGACCCCCUUGAUCCGCCGAGCCGAGUUGCUAUCUUUGUUGGGGAACGUAGUAAUUUCAAAAAAUUUCCUACGCACACGCAAGAUCAUGGUGAUGCAUAGCAACGAGAGGGGAGAGUGUUGUCCACGUACCCUUGUAGACCGAAAGCAGAAGCGUUAGCACAACGCGGUUGAUGUAGUCGUACGUCUUCACGAUCCGACCGAUCAAGUACCGAACGCACGGCACCUCCGAGUUCAGCACACGUUCAGCCCGAUGACGUCCCUCGAACUCCGAUCCAGCCGAGUGUUGAGGGAGAGUUUCGUCAGCACGACGGCGUGGUGACGAUGAUGAUGUUCUACCGACGCAGGGCUUCGCCUAAGCACCGCAACAGUAUUAUCGAGGUGGACUAUGGUGGAGGGGGGCACCGCACACGGCUAAAAGAUCAAACGAUCAAUUGUUGUGUCUCUAGGGUGCCCCCUUGCCCCCGUAUAUAAAGGAGCAAGGGGGGAGGUGCGGCCGGCCAGGAGGGGGUGCGCCAGGAGGAGUCCUACUCCCAUCGGGAGUAGGACUCCCUCCCUUUUCCUUGUUGGAUUAGGAGAAGAGGGGGAAAGAGGUGGAGGAGAAGAACGAAAGGGGGGGGGGGGCGCCGCCCCCCUCUCCUUGUCCUAUUCGGACUAGGGGGGAGGGGCGCGCGGCCCUGCCCUAGCCGCCUCUCCUCUUCUCCACUAAGGCCCACUAUGGCCCAUUAACCCCCGGGGGGUUCCGGUAACCCCUCCGGUACUCCGGUAAAAUCCCAAUUUCACCCGGAACACUUCCGAUAUCCAAAUAUAGGCUUCCAAUAUAUCAAUCUUCAUGUCUCGACCAUUUCGAGACUCGUCGUCAUGUCCAUGAUCACAUCCGGAACUCCGAACAACCUUCGGUACAUCAAAACAUAUAAACUCAUAAUAUAACUGUCAUCGAAACGUUAAGCGUGCAGACCCUACGGGUUCGAGAACUAUGUAGACAUGACCGAGACACAUCUCGGUCAAUAACCAAUAGCGGAACCUGGAUGCUCAUAUUGGCUCCCACAUAUUCUACGAAGAUCUUUAUCGGUCAGACCGCAUAAAAACAUACGUUGUUCCCUUUGUCAUCGGUAUGUUACUUGCCCGAGAUUCGAUCGUCGGUAUCUCAAUACCUAGUUCAAUCUCGUUACCGGCAAGUCUCUUUACUCGUUCCGUAAUACAUCAUCCCGCAACUAACUCAUUAGUUGCAAUGCUUGCAAGGCUUAAGUGAUGUAUAUUACUGAGUGGGCCCAGAGAUACCUCUCCGACAAUCGGAGUGACAAAUCCUAAUCUUGAAAUACGCCAACCCAACAAGUACCUUCGGAGACACCUGUAGAGCACCUUUAUAAUCACCCAGUUACGUUGUGACGUUUGGUAGCACACAAAGUGUUCCUCCAGUAAACGGGAGUUGCAUAAUCUCAUAGUCAUAGGAACAUGUAUAAGUCAUGAAGAAAGCAAUAGCAACAUACUAUAUGAUCGAGUGCUAAGCUAACGGAAUGGGUCAAGUCAAUCACAUCAUUCUCCUAAUGAUGUGAUCCCGUUAAUCAAAUGACAACCCAUGUCAAUGGCUAGGAAACAUAACCAUCUUUGAUCAACGAGCUAGUCAAGUAGAGGCAUACUAGUGACACUCUGUUUGUCUAUGUAUUGACACAAGUAUUACGUUUCCGGUUAAUACAAUUCUAGCAUGAACAAUAAACAUUUAUCAUGAUAUAAGGAAAUAAAUAAUAACUUUAUUAUUGCCUCUAGGGCAUAUUUCCUUCAGUCUCCCACUUGCACUAGAGUCAAUAAUCUAGAUUACACAGUAAUGAUUCUAACACCCAUGGAGCCUUGGUGCUGAUCAUGUUUUGCUCGUGGAAGAGGCUUAGUCAACGGGUCUGCAACAUUCAGAUCCGUAUGUAUCUUGCAAAUUUCUAUGUCUCCCACCUGGACUAAAUCCCGGAUGGAAUUGAAGCGUCUCUUGAUGUGCUUGGUUCUCUUGUGAAAUCUGGAUUCCUUCGCCAAGGCAAUUGCACCAGUAUUGUCACAAAAGAUUUUGAUUGGACCCGAUGCACUAGGUAUGACACCUAGGUCGGAUAUGAACUCCUUCAUCCAGACUCCUUCAUUUGCUGCUUCCGAAGCAGCUAUGUACUCCGCUUCACACGUAGAUCCCGCCACGACGCUUUGUUUACAACUGCACCAACUGACAGCUCCACCGUUCAAUGUAAACACGUAUCCGGUUUGCGAUUUAGAAUCGUCCGGGUCAGUGUCAAAGCUUGCAUCAACGUAACCAUUUACGAUGAGCUCUUUGUCACCUCCAUAAAUGAGAAACAUAUCCUUAGUCCUUUUCAGGUAUUUCAGGAUGUUCUUGACCGCUGUCCAGUGGUCCACUCCUGGAUUACUUUGGUACCUCCCUGCUAGACUUAUAGCAAGGCACACAUCAGGUCUGGUACACAGCAUUGCAUACAUGAUAGAGCCUAUGGCUGAAGCAUAGGGAACAUCUUUCAUUUUCUCUCUAUCUUCUGCAAUGGUCGGGCAUUGAGUCUUACUCAACUUCACACCUUGUAACACAGGCAAGAACCCUUUCUUUGCUUGAUCCAUUUUGAACUUCUUUAAAACUUUGUCAAGGUAUGUGCUUUGUGAAAGUCCAAUUAAGCGUCUUGAUCUAUCUCUAUAGAUCUUGAUGUCCAAUAUAUAAGCAGCUUCACCGAGGUCUUUCAUUGAAAAGCUCUUAUUCAAGUAUCCCUUUAUGCUAUCCAGAAAUUCUAAAUCAUUUCCAAUCAGCAAUAUGUCAUCCACAUAUAAUAUCAGAAAUGCUACAGAGCUCCCACUCACUUUCUUGUAAAUACAGGCUUCUCCAAAAGUCUGUACAAAAUCAAAUGCUUUGAUCACACUAUCAAAGCGUUUAUUCCAACUCCGAGAGGCUUGCACCAGCCCAUAAAUGGAUCGCUAGAGCUUGCACACUUUGUUAGCUCCAUUUGGAUCGACAAAACCUUCCGGUUGCAUCAUAUACAAUUCUUCUUCCAGAAAUCCAUUCAGGAAUGCAGUUUUGACAUCCAUUUGCCAAAUUUCAUAAUCAUAAAAUGCGGCAAUUGCUAACAUGAUUUGGACAGACUUAAGCAUCGCUACGGGUGAGAAGGUCUCAUCGUAGUCAAUCCCUUGAACUUGUCGAAAACCUUUCGCAACAAGUCGAGCUUUAUAGACAGUAACAUUACCGUCAGCGUGAGUCUUCUUCUUGAAGAUCCAUUUAUUUUCAAUGGCUUGCCGAUCAUCGGGCAAGUCAACCAAAGUCCACACUUUGUUCUCAAACAUGGAUCCCAUCUCAGAUUUCAUGGCCUCAAGCCAUUUUGCGGAAUCUGGGUCACCAUCACUUCUUCAUAGUUCGUAGGUUCGUCAUGGUCUAGUAACAUAACCUCCAGAACAGGAUUACCGUACCACUCUGGUGCGGAUCUUACUCUGGUUGACCUACGAGGUUCAGUAACAACUUGAUCUGAAGUUCCAUGAUCAUCAUCAUUAACUUCCUCACUAAUUGGUCUAGGCGUCAUAGGAACCGGUUUCUGUGAUGAACUACUUUCCAAUAAGGGAGCAGGUACAGUUACCUCAUCAAGUUCUACUUUCCUCCCACUCACUUCUUUCGAGAGAAACUCCUUCUCUAGAAAGGAUCCAUUCUUAGCAACGAAUGUCUUGCCUUCGGAUCUGUGAUAGAAGGUGUACCCAACAGUCUCCUUUGGGUAUCCUAUGAAGACACAUUUCUCCGAUUUGGGUUCGAGCUUAUCAGGUUGAAGCUUUUUCACAUAAGCAUCGCAGCCCCAAACUUUAAGAAACGACAACUUUGGUUUCUUGCCAUACCACAGUUCAUAAGGCGUCGUCUCAACGGAUUUCGAUGGUGCCCUAUUUAACGUGAAUGCAGCCGUCUCUAAAGCAUAACCCCAAAACGAUAGCGGUAAAUCAGUAAGAGACAUCAUAGAUCGCACCAUAUCUAGUAAAGUACGAUUACGACGUUCGGACACACCAUUACGCUGUGGUGUUCCGGGUGGCGUGAGUUGCGAAACUAUUCCGCAUUGUUUCAAAUGUAGACCAAACUCGUAACUCAAAUAUUCUCCUCCAUGAUCAGAUUGUAGAAACUUUAUUUUGUUGUUACGAUGAUUUUCAACUUCACUCUGAAAUUCUUUGAACUUUUCAAAUGUUUCAGAUUUAUGUUUCAUUAAGUAGAUAUACCCAUAUCUGCUCAAAUCAUCUGUGAAGGUGAGAAAAUAACGAUAUCCGCCACGAGCCUCAACAUUCAUCGGACCACAUACAUCUGUAUGUAUGAUUUACAACAAAUCUGUUGCUCUCUCCAUAGUUCCGGAGAACGGCGUUUUAGUCAUCUUGCCCAUGAGGCACGGUUCGCAAUUACCAAGUGAUUCAUAAUCAAGUGGUUCCAAAAGUCCAUCAGUAUGGAGUUUCUUCAUGCGCUUUACACCAAUAGGACCUAAACGGCAGUGCCACAAAUAAGUUGCACUAUCAUUAUCAACUCUGCAUGUUUUGGCUUCAGCAUUAUGAAUAUGUGUAUCACUACUAUCGAGAUUCAUCAAAAAUAGACCACUCUUCAAGGGUGCAUGACCAUAAAAGAUAUUACUCAUAUAAAUAGAACAACCAUUAUUCUCUGAUUUAAAUGAAUAACCGUCUCGCAUCAAAAAAGAUCUAGAUAUAAUGUUCAUGCUCAACGCUGGCACCAAAUAACAAUUAUUUAGGUCUAAUACUAAUCCCGAAGGUAGAUGUAGAGGUAGUGUGCCCACGGCGAUCAGAUCGACUUUGGAACCGUUUCCCACACGCAUCGUCACCUCGUCCUUGGCCAGUGUUCGCUUAAUCCGUAUUCCCUGUUUUGAGUUGCAAAUAUUAGCAACAGAACCAGUAUCAAAUAUCCAGGUGCUACUGCGAGCUCUGGUAAGGUACACAUCAAUAACAUGUAUAUCACAUAUACCUUUGUUCACUUUGCCAUCCUUCUUAUCCGCCAAAUACUUGGGGCAGUUCCGCUUCCAGUGACCAGUCUGCUUGCAGUAGAAGCACUCAGUCUCAAGCUUAGGUCCAGACUUGGGGUUCUUCUCUUGAGCAGCAACUUGCUUGCUGUUCUUCUUGAAGUUCCCCUUCUUCUUCCCUUUGCCCUUUUUCUUGAAACUGGUGGUCUUAUUGACCAUCAACACUUGAUGCUCCUUCUUGAUUUCUACCUCCGCAGCCUUUAGCAUUGCGAAGAGCUCGGGAAUCGUCUUAUCCAUCCCUUGCAUGUUAUAGUUCAUCACGAAGCUCUUGUAGCUUGGUGGCAGUGAUUGAAGAAUUCUGUCAAUGACGCUAUCAUCCGGAAGAUUAACUCCCAGUUGAAUCAUGUGAUUGUUAUACCCAGACAUUUUGAGUAUAUGCUCACUGGCAGAACUAUUCUCCUCCAUCUUACAGCUGUAGAAUUUAUUGGAGACUUCAUAUCUCUCAAUCCGGGCAUUUGCUUGAAAUAUUAACUUCAACUCCUGGAACAUCUCAUAUGCUCCAUGACGUUCAAAACGUUGUUGAAGUCCCGGUUCUAGGCCGUAAAGCAUGGCACACUGAACUAUCGAGUAGUCAUCAGCUUUGCUCUGCCAGACGUUCAUAACAUCUGGUGUUGCUCUUGUAGCAGGUUUGGCACGUAGCGGUGCUUCCAGGACGUAAUUCUUCUGUGCAGCAAUGAGGAUAAUCCUAAAGUUACGGAACCAGUCCGUGUAAUUGCUACCAUCAUCUUUCAACUUUGCUUUCUCAAGGAACGCAUUAAAAUUCAACGAAACAACAGCACGGGCCAUCUAUCUACAAUCAUCAUAGACAAGCAAGAUACUAUCAGGUACUAAGGUAAUGAUAAAUUUAAGUUCAAUUAAUCAUAUUACUUAAGAACUCCCACUUAGAUAGACAUCUCUCUAAUCCUCUAAGUGAUCACGUGAUCCAAAUCAACUAUACCAUAACCGAUCAUCACGUGAAAUGGAGUAGCUUUCAAUGGUGAACAUCACUAUGUUGAUCAUAUCUACUAUAUGAUUCACGCUCGACCUUUCGGUCUCAGUGUUCCGAGGCCAUAUCUGCAUAUGCUAGGCUCGUCAAGUUUAACCUGAGUAUUCCGCGUGUGCAAAACUGGCUUGCACCCGUUGUAGAUGGACGUAGAGCUUAUCACACCCGAUCAUCACAUGGUGUCUGGGCACGACGAACUUUGGCAACGGUGCAUACUCAGGGAGAACACUUUGGCAACGGUGCAUACUCAUGUGGCAAGUAUGACAAGGUAACAUGUACAACUCAUGAGCUGCAUUGCUACUUAUAUUUUAUUAUUAUUGGUUGACAAAAAUCUAUCCAUACAAGUAGCAUGUGACAAGAUUUUGUGCAUGAUUUAUCACACUAUCUUGAUGAUCUACCUUUCCUGGAUUCUUUUUAUGUGACCUUUCCUAGACUUGAUUAUAUAGUAGUUUGAGCUAUGAUCGUCCAACCAAGUAAGCAUAUUGCAGAAUUAGUCGAAGUUCCACAUGAGAGUGGUGACCCUAGGAUUUAUAUUUUGUUUCAUGUCGCGCCGUGGUCUUAUUAUGAGAGACCAACAUGCAUACUAAGUGUGGGUGCGCUCGCAUCGCAUUUAACAUUUAUUUACAGUUAAUUAUGCAUGAGAAAUUUAGUGAGAGAUCAUCUUAUAAUGCUACCGUCAAUCAAAGCAAGAUAAGAUGCAUAAAAGAUAAACAUCACAUGCAAUCAAUAUAAGUGAUAUGAUAUGGCCAUCAUCAUCUUGUGCUUGUGAUCUCCAUCUCCGAAGCACCGUCAUGAUCACCAUCGUCACCGGCGCGACACCUUGAUCUCCAUCGUAGCAUCGUUGUCGUCUCGCCAAUCUUAUGCUUCUACGACUAUCGCUACCGCUUAGUGAUAAAGUAAAGCAUUACAGGGCGAUUGCAUUGCAUACAAUAAAUCGACAACCAUAUGGCUCCUGCCAGUUGCCGAUAACUGGUUACAAAACAUGAUCAUCUCAUACAAUAAAAUUUAGUAUCAUGUCUUGAUCAUAUCACAUCACAACAUGUCCUGCAAAAACAAGUUAGACGUCCUCUACUUUGUUGUUGCAAAUUUUACGUGGCUGCUACGGGCUUAGCAAGAACCGUUCUUACCUACGCAUCAAAACCACAACAAUAGUUUGUCAAGUUGGUGCUGUUUUAACCUUCGCAAGGACCGGGCGUAGCCACACUCGGUUCAACUAAAGUUGGAGAAACUGACACCCGCCAGCCACCUAUGUGCAAAGCACGUCGGUAGAACCAGUCUCGCGUAAGCGUACGCGUAAAGUCGGUCCGGGCCGCUUCAUCCAACAAUACCGCCGAACCAAAGUAUGACAUGCUGGUAAGCAGUAUGACUUAUAUCGCCCACAACUCACUUGUGUCCUACUCGUGCAUAUGACAUCUACGCAUAAAACCUGGCUCGGAUGCCACUGUUGGGGAACGUAGUAAUUUCAGAAAAUUUCCUACGCACACGCAAGAUCAUGGUGAUGCAUAGCAACGGGAGGGGAGAGUGUUGUCCACGUACCCUUGUAGACCGAAAGCGGAACCGUUAGCACAACGCGGUUGAUGUAGUCGUACGUCUUCACGAUCCAACCGAUCAAGUACCGAACGCACGACACCUCCGAGUUCAGCACACGUUCAGCCCGAUGACGUCCCUCGAACUCCGAUACAACCAAGUGUUGAGGGAGAGUUUCGUCAGCACGACGGCGUGGUGAUGAUGAUGAUGUUCUACCGACGCAGGGCUUCGCCUAAGCACCGCUACAGUAUUAUCGAGGUGGACUAUGGUGGAGGGGGCCAACGCACACGGCUAAAAGAUCAAACGAUCAAUUGUUGUGUCUCUAGGGUGCCCCCCUGCCCCCGUAUAUAAAGGAGCAAGGGGGGAGGUGCGGCCGGCCAGGAGGGGGCGCGCCAGGAGGAGUCCUACUCCCACCGGGAGUAGGACCCCCUCCCUUUUCCUUGUUGGAUUAGGAGAAGAGGGGGAAAGAGGUGGAGGAGAAGAAGGAAAGGGGGGGCGCCGCCCCCCUCUCCUUGUCCUAUUCGGACUGGGGGCGUGCGGCCCAGCCCUGGCCGCUCUCCUCUUCUCCACUAAGGCCCACUAUGGCCCAUUAACCCCUGGGGGGUUUCAGUAACCCCUCCGGUACUCCGGUAAAAUCCCGAUUUCACCCGGAACACUUCCGAUAUCCAAAUAUAGGCUUCCAAUAUAUCAAUCUUUAUGUCUCGACCAUUUCAAGACUCCUCGUCAUGUCCAUGAUCACAUCCGGGACUCCGAACAACCUUCGGUACAUCAAAACAUAUAAACUCAUAAUAUAACUGUCAUCAAAAUGUUAAGCGUGCGGACCCUACGGGUUCGAGAACUAUGUAGACAUGACCGAGACACGUCUCCGGUCAAUAACCAAUAGCAGAACCUGGAUGCUCAUAUUGGCUCCCACAUAUUCUACGAAGAUCUUUAUCGGUCAGAACGCAUAACAACAUACGUUGUUCCCUUUGUCAUCGGUAUGUUACUUGCCCGAGAUUCGAUCGUCGGUAUCUCAAUACCUAGUUCAAUCUCGUUACCGGCAAGUCUCUUUACUCGUUCCGUAAUACAUCAUCCCGCAACUAACUCAUUAGUUGCAAUGCUUGCAAGGCUUAAGUGAUGUGUAUUACCGAGUGGGCCCAGAGAUACCUCUCCGACAAUCGGAGUGACAAAUCCUAAUCUUGAAAUACGCCAGCCCAACAAGUACCUUCAGAGACACUUGUAGAGCACCUUUAUAAUCACCCAGUUACGUUGUGACGUUUGGUAGCACACAAAGUGUUCACCCGGUAAACGGGAGUUGCAUAAUCUCAUAGUCAUAGGAACAUGUAUAAGUCAUGAAGAAAGCAAUAGCAACAUACUAUAUGAUCGAGUGCUAAGCUAACGGAAUGGGUCAAGUCAAUCACAUCAUUCUCCUAAUGAUGUGAUCCCGUUAAUCAAAUGACAACCCAUGUCAAUGGCUAGGAAACAUAACCAUCUUUGAUCAAUGAGCUAGUCAAGUAGAGGCAUACUAGUGACACUCUGUUUGUCUAUGUAUUCACACAAGUAUUACGUUUCCGGUUAAUACAAUUCUAGCAUGAAUAAUAAACAUUUAUCAUGAUAUAAGGAAAUAAAUAAUAACUUUAUUAUUGCCUCUAGGGCAUAUUUCCUUCAAUCUUCAUGGCCGGUACACAGUCAGCGCAACACUCUUCGACCACAGCAGCGAUGAUAUCUGGUUCAGCGGCGGCAACAGGAGCUGGGGCAGGAGGCCCUGCGCAGCCGCCGGUUCAGGUGUUGUCUGAUUUAUUCUAUGCUUUGGCAGCACUGUUGGCCGCUGAAGUUGACCCGGCGGAUCAGGAUCAGAAUAACGCAGAAAUUGCGAAGGUGAAGGAUCAGAUACCUCAAGCCAAGGUAGAUCUGGCAGCUGAAAACACCCGGAUGGUUGCAGAGCAGGCCGAGUUGGAUGCACAGGCUUAUAGGCUUAUGUUGGAUCAGAACGCAUCAAACGAUGUAAUGAGGAGAAGGUACCGGUCCCACCUGUCUCCGGGUAUGAGGCUAGGAAUCUUUUUAAUACGCCAGGAGCAGGAACCAGCAACCAGCCAGUGGUAAAUCGGGUAGAAGCACCUGAAACUGGGGCGCCGGUCCAGCCACGCGCAACGGAUCCACCUCGUCAGAAUAUCCCGUCACAGCAUGUACCGACGCCUCCAGGUCAUUACUCCAACCCCUUGGAUAACAUAGUCGCUGCCGCUUCACGAUUGGCAGCCCUCCCGGUCGAAGGCGAGUCCCCUGUAGCAGUUGAGAUGCGACGGGCUUGGGAGCUCCUUCAAACAGCUUUGACUCAGCAGCAGGCUUAUUCGUACAGCCACGAGAGGAUUCAUUCCACCCCCCCCGCCCAAUCCGGAGUUACAGCAGGCAUAUGGAUGAACCGGCCGUACCAAGUAGUGCGCGGAACCGUAACCCGCCUCGAGGGCAUAACCCGGCCGGUGGAGGCGCUAAUGCUCAAGAUGUGGUGGAUUAGUGUAGAGAACGUCGAGAAGCCGAGUUAGCAGCGCAGUAUGCGGCCCGUCAGCUCACCCCGGUUCGUCCGACAACUUCGGUGGAACCAGGAGUUACCUCCAGUUCUUUGGGGGUGCCGUGUCUCACCCCGGCUUUACGUAAUGUACGGCUGCCCAAGGAUUUCAAGGGUCCUCGAAAAGUGCCCAAUUACACUGCCGAUUUAUCCCCCGAAUCAUGGGUUGAAAGUUAUGAGAUGGCAAUGGAGAUGCUGGAUGUGGAUGAUGCAGCAUGUGCUAAAUAUUUCACCAUGAUGUUGGAAGGAACAGCUCGCACUUGGCUGAAAAGUUUGCCGGCUAACUCUAUUGGGUCAUGGGCCGAGUUAAGGGCCCGGUUCAUCCAGAAUUUCAAAGACACGUGCAAGCAGCACAUGUCAAUUGUGGACUUAGCUGCCUGUGUCCAUGGAGAAGGUGAAUCGACAAGUCAUUGGGUGCGCCGGGUUUCAGAAAUCUUGCAUUCAUCGGACCCAUCAAUGCCGAUACGGCAGUCUUAACGUUGGAAGGCAAUUGCCGGUUCACGCCUCUGAAGUUGAAGUUGGGACAGCUCAAGCGUCACUGCAAUGACAUGGGAACGCUCAUGGCAGCUUUGGUUAAGUAUGCCGACUCUGAUAGUACCAAGGACCCUGAGUCUGAUGAUGAAAAGCCAGGAAAGGGAAAGAAGAGCGGCAACACUAAAGGGCAGCAACAUAACCCGGCGGGCCAUGGAAACAACGGUAAGCGUAAAGCGGAUAACAGUUUGGAUUUUGUGGCUAACACCAACACGCAGAAUAAUGGUCAGCGUCGUAAGGGUAAGCCACCCCCGCGGAGUGGAGGAUCAGGUGUCAAUCUGGAGCGCCUGCUAAAUCAGCCUUGCCCAAGGCACGAAACGAAUGAAAGGCCAACUACGCACCAUUGGAAGGAUUGCUUUAUUAUGUGAGAGUUCAAAAAUUCGGAUCUUUUCCAAUACGAUCAUGGACCGUCCGGUGGUUCAGGGCUCGGUUCUCAUGGGCCGGGUUAUGGUGGAGGCAGUUCUGGCUCAGGAUUUCAAGGUAAUCAAAGCGGCUAUGGCCAUCAGGGCAGUCAAGGCAACUAGGGGGUUAUAAUCAACAGGGGAGUCAACAGCAGCAACAGUCGGGUUACCAGAGCAACCCGAAGCAGUUGCAUAGUGGGCAAUAUCAUGUCCUCACCACUAGCCUGUGCAAGCGCGAUCAAAAGCUUCAUAAAAGGGCAGUGAACUCCGUUGAACCGGCGGUGCCCCGUUACUUGCGUUGGUCUGAGCAGGCCAUCGUGUGGAGUCGAGGGAUCAUCCGCCCCGGGUUGAUAAUCCGGGUCAUCUGGCAUUGGUGGUGGCGCCUCAGGUUGGAGGGUAUAAGUUCACCAAGGUGCUCAUGGAUGGAGGGAGCAGUAUCAAUAUCCUUUAUUAUGAAACCUUCUGGCGGAUGGGGUUGACAGAUAAAAAUCUUAAACCGUCAAACACUGUUUUCCAUGGCGUGGUGCCUGGUAAAUCGGUGUAUCCAGUUGGUAAGAUAGCUCUGGAGGUUGCUUUUGGAGACGAUCAUGAUUCAAGAUCAGAGACAUUGACUUUUGAGGUGGUGAAAAUCAAGAGCCCAUAUCAUGCCCUGUUUGGGCGGCCGGCUUAUGCUAAGUUCAUGGCAAGGCCCUGUUAUGUUUAUCUGUAGCUCAAGAUGCCGGGUCAUAAGGGGACUAUCACGGUACAUGGGAGCCGUAAGAUCGCGUUGGAAUGUGAAGAAGGUGAUGCGGCCUAUGCUGAGUCGGUUUGUGCAACAGAGGAGUUGAAGUUCUACAAGGAUAAUGUUGAUCCGGCGGAUAUGACCUCUUUGAAAAAUCCAACUACAGAGCAUGAUCCGGCCUUGAAGUUUAAAUCGGCUGAUGAGACUAAGCUGGUUGAUUUUGUUCCUGGCGAUUCAUCCAAGCAGUUCAGCAUCAGCGCUAACUUGGAUCCAAAAUAGGAAAGCGCGCUCAUCGAGUUCAUCCGUGAGAACCGGGACAUCUUUGCAUGGAAACCUUCUGACAUGCCAGGUGUACCGAAGGAACUCACUGAGCACACUCUUAAUGUUGAUCCCAAGUUUAAACCGGUCAAGCAGUUUCUUCGCCGCUUCAAUGAAGAAAGACGCAAGGCCAUUGGUGAGGAGGUAGCCAGGCUCUUGGCGGUUGGAUUUAUAAUUGAAGUAUUUCAUCUAGAGUGGUUGGCUAAUCCAGUGCUAGUACUUAAGAAAAAUGGCACUUGGCGUAUGUGUGUGGACUACACAGAUUUGAACAAGGCUUGUCUAGCGGAUCCUUUUGCUCUCCCUCGUAUUGAUCAGAUUAUUGAUGCGACGGCGGGUUGUGAGCGUCUAAGAUUUCUGGAUGCUUAUUCCGGUUAUCAUCAGAUCAAGAUGGCAGUUAAGGACCAGGAGAAAACAGCUUUUAUAACUCCCUUUGGAGCCUUCUGUUAUGUGUCUAUGCACUUUGGGCUAAAGAGUGCCCAGGCGUCUUAUCAGCGCUGUGUGCAGAAUUGUCUUCAUAAUCAGAUUGGGCGCAAUGUUCAUGCUUAUGCAGAUGAAGUCCGGGAAGGAGGAGACAUUAAUAGAUGAUUUGAAGGAAACUUUUGAUAAUCUCCGGGUUUACAAGAUAAUGUUUAAUCCGGCCAAGUGUGUUUUUUGUGUACCGGCAGGCAAGCUCUUGGGUUUUCUGGUGUCUAACAGGGGCAUUGAAGCUAAUCCGGAAAAAAAUCAAAGCUAUUACGUCCCUGGCUAAACCGGCGUGUGUCAACGAUGUUCAACAUCUAGCGGGUCGUAUUGCAGCGCUGAGCCGGUUUAUCAGCCGACUGGGGGAGAAGGCUAUCCCUCUAUAUCAGAUGAUGAAAAAGACAGACAAUUUUGUCUGGAGUGAUGCUGCUAAUGCGGCGUUUGAGGACUUAAAGAAGCAGUUAGCCGAGCCACCUGUCCUUGCUGCUUCGGUCGAUAAAGAGCCGCUGUUGUUAUAUGUGGCUGCUAAUGCCCGAGCUGUCAGUGUCGCCAUUGUGGUAGAGCGCAAGGAGGCUGGGAAGGAAUAUCCGGCUAAUAUUUGAAGCUAUUGACACACUAUAUAGGGGUUAUAAAUAAUAAUAAUAAUAAUAAUAAUAAAGUUAUCUAAGAUAAAAUGAAUUAGGGGCAUUGGUGUCAGCCUAAAAAGGAAAAAAAUGCAAAAAAGAAAGAAAUUACACACAUAUUAUGUAGAAAUUGCACUGUUCCAUAAUAUGCAAAAACUACCCUAUAUGGGUGUAGAAAUUUUUAAUAAACGUACACACACUUGUUUAAAUUAUAGAAUGUAAAGCGGAUGUACACACCCACAAUCACUUUUUUCCCCUUACACAUAAUCAUAAACUACAUAAAAAAACAAAAAAAAUCUAAGCUAGAAUGAAUUAGGGGCAUUUGUGUCACCCUAAAAAUUAAGAUUUUUUUAAGAAAAUAAGUUAAUCUAACCUAUAAUGAAUUAGGGAGAGUGGUGUUACCUAAAAAUGAAAAAAAUGAAAAAAUAUUUAAAAAUUAUUCUGAGAUAGAAUGAAUUAGGGGCUUUAGUGUACCCAUUAAAAUAAAAUAAAUGUAGGAAAAAAAUACAAGCCCCCACAAUCACCCAUAAUCUAUCUCCCACACACACACGCGCACAGCACAUGCACACAAGUGCGUCACACACACACAACAGUCUCAGGACACGAACACAUACAACGAAACCGUAUAUUUCUUGUUGUGAUGUCAUAGCUUGAGAUAUCAGAGGAAACUGACAAGCUCGUAUUCGAAGGAGGGGGCGUGCUCCAUUAACAGUGAAUCAUAAAAGUCUGAAACUCAUAUUCAUCCAAACUAAGCAAAUCUGGAUUUGAACAUGAAUAGUGCAUCAACAUAUUAAUAGAACUUUUGGAAGCAGCUGCUACAGAUGGAAGCUUAUUUCCAACUUACACUAUUUCGGUUUGCAGAUAACCAUGAAAAGCAGCAUCCCCUUGAAAACUCAACUGACCUGCAAAUUUUCCCCCACGUCACCCUUAUGCCCAGUGAAUCAACGAUCUAGGAUUUCAAUUCAGUUGUACGUGCAAGAGGUCCACUCCCACACAUGGUGACUUCAAACCACACUAGUAGAAAAAGAGGCUUCCAUACGCCCCCAUUAGUCCCCAAAAUAAUCGAACCGCGACCAAAGGGGUCUUUAGUCGCGGUUCGGGAGGAGACCCGCGACCAACUAUCUGGGCCCAGCGCGCUCGGUCGACAGUUGGCGGACGGGAGGGGCUUUAGUCCCGGUUGGCCUGGCCAACCGGGACUAAAGAUCCUCAGGCUGGCCCGAAGGCCUUUAGUAGACCUUUAGUCCCGGUUGGUCUGGCCAACCGCGACUAAUGGGAUUUGAGGCAUUAGUACCGGUUCAUGGCACGAACCGGUACUAAAGGCCUCAUUUUCAAACUCUACCCCCCCCCCUCCGAUCGCCUUUUCAGUUUUAGAAAAAACAAAAGAAAAUGAUGGAAAUGUCAAAAAAUAAAAUAAAAUAAGUUUCCCAUGUGAUAUGUGGUCUAGUUGUUGGGAAAAUUAACAAAUAUGAAUUUCGACUUUAUUUGCAAAAUCUCUCUGGAAUUUCUUAAAAUGGGCAUAACUUUUGCAUACGAACUCGGAUGAAAAAGUUUUUUAUAUGAAAAAUCAUCUACUCGAAAAGUUACAUCCGAAUUUAACCGGGGGAACCCUGUUAAACAUUUUCAAAAUCCUCAAAAACCUAACAGAAAAAAGUUACGGGGCUUUUAAGAUCUGGAGAGGCAAAAAAAUCCAAACUGUGGUCAAACAAUGGUCAAACUAAUUAUUCUAGAAUAUUAGUGUUACUAAAUAAUUAUUGUUUUUUAAAACAAUAGUUUCAAACUCAAACAGUGAAAUGUGUCACUUCGUGCUCAAGCUAAAUUCCUGAGGGUUAAUAGAAUUGACAUCCUACUAUUGUCAGGAAAACAACAAGUGCAGACUUGGAAACGAGGGAGAAUAGAACCCGGAAGUUAAGCGUGCUCAGGUUGGAGUAGUGAGAGGAUGGGUGACCGUCCGGGAAGUUAGAUGAUUUGAAAUGAUGAGGGGUGAUUAGAGAUUAGAGGAUAAAUUGAGCAGUGAUGAGGGGUGGUGAUUAGAGAUUAGAGGUUAAAAUAAUUCAGAAAUUUGAAAAUAAAAAAAAUUAAAAAAAUUCACAAAGAAACCAGGUUUAGGGGGGCUAAAACCCUAAACCUGCGGAGGAGGCCUUUAGUCCCGGUUAGCCACGAGAACCGGGACUAAAGGUCCUCCGCCCGACGGACCCCUGGCGCCCACGUGGACGGGCCUUUAGUCCCGGUUAUCCACGAGAACCGGGACUAAAGCCUUUAGUCGCGGUUCGUAAGAGGCGCGACUAAAGGGGGGGUCUUUAGUCGCGCAUAUUUAGUCCCGGUUGCACAGCCGGGACUAAAGGCCUUUGCGAACCGGGACUGAAGGCCCAUUUUCUACCAGUGCCAGGCUGCUAUUUGGUUCCCAAGCCAAAUCAUUACAUUCAGUAGAUACAUCCGAUGUUUCUUUUAGAUCUUGUCACUACAGAAUCUCACUGAACCAAGCAAACUCAUUCUUUAAGCAGGGCACUUCCAUUGUUUCAGGCACUGACAUAGCAUUAACAAGCAUAUUUAGAGAUUCAAGGGUUUGUAAAUAGCCAGUGGAUUGUAACCAUGUUGAAAACCAACUGACAGAACUGACACAUUGCUUUUAAAAGAUGCUAUCCAGAGCACGAACAAGGCACUGUUGUAAUUCGAUAAUUUCUACUAGUACAAAGGUUAUAUAUAUAAAUACAAAAAAUAGAAAUGCAUUGACUAAGAAAAUAAAUUGAAAAGGAUGUGAGCAUACUGAUCAAAAUCAGUCAUAAGCAUUAGCGAAAGGACCUUAUUCAAUCAAAAGGGAUCAUGCCCAACGCUGGACUACUAGAACAAUCCCAGUAAAUUUGUUUCCUUUUCUUAGCCCUACAGUUAUAAGAUGGUUAUACACAUGUCAAAUAGACGAGAAUUGCUUUUGCCGAGUUUAGUAAGGUUCUACCGAGUUUAGUAAUGUGUAGUACAAUAGACAAGCAUACUUGCAUACAAAUUAGGUGAUACAUUAUCAGAAAUGAACUAUCGAUACAUAAAAAUGAUCUCUACUCCUAUAAAAAUCUGAGUUGGUGAUGAUGGUGUACCUGCUAUCUUGCGUUUCGGAUCGUCAGAUCUGCAUCUGACGCACAACACAAAGCAAUCUGUGCAAUUUUACACAAAGACACCCGCUUCACGUGACACAUUUGCAGAUAGCCCCUCCAAGUCCCAUCUCUCCCGUUCAGCACUGGCGCCCCCAACUCAUCAAAGUCCAUCAGAAAAAGAAGGUACUGGAAGAACCACCGAUCGAUCUAGCUAGAUGUCACUGGAAUCGAUCUCGCUAGAUGGCCGUUGUCGGCGCCGUCCACCCCCAAGCCUCUCAUCAGCCCCAGAGCUCACCACCACCGCAAAAUCCCGUCCUCCCCGCCAUCUACUCCGCCCCCUUUUGCCCGUCUCCUCCGGCGCCGGCCUCGGCAAGCACAUACGCCGCCGAUGCUGCCCGUCCGCCGACUCGUCCUCAUCUUGUGCCGCAGUACAACCGCCCAUCAUCUCCACCACGACGCCCUCUUCCGCGUCAUCCCCUACACCCCUCCCCCAUCUCCUGCGGUUCCAAUGCCCGCAAGUGCGCCGCUACCGCCGUCCGUGCCCUGACGCCUCUCUUGCUUCCUCCCUUUGUUGUUGCAGUAGCCCCACCACCCACCGGCACCACCUCAUCCUCCUCAUCGCCAUCUCUUCCGCCCGCUCCCCGUAUCCUCCGACGUCGACCUCCAGAAGUACGCCGCCGGCUGCGCCGCCACCUACUGCUACCCGCCGGAGGAUUUCGGCUGGUGGCAAACUACUCGUUCCCGGCAGUGCCAGUGCCAACUACCUCAAGCCACUGUGUUUGUUCCCAAAUCCCAACCACGUUCAUCCCUCCAUAAGUUUUGUGUUUCUCUGUCAGACCCAAAGAAGUUUGUCAUUGUUUUGGAGCAGAGAUGUGUGAUUUGUGCAGCUAUGUGAUUGAAACCAUUGCUUCUCCUAAAUAUGUUUAAAAACUAAUUGGUUGUGGAUCUGCGAAGUACCUCGAGAACUGCAGAUUUAUCCUUGGGGAAAUUACUGAGAAUCAUCCCCUCGGGUUGUUACUAGAUUUUCUAUUCAAUAUUCAGAUUUUUUUCCAUUGUGAUCUAUGUCAGAUUUAUUGCUCAAGGAAAAUGGAGCAGUGUUAUCAAGCAUUGCUAAAUGUCUUCUUAAGUGGAGAAGAUAUAUCAAGAGCUACUUACAAGGAAGAGAGAUAAGCUUUUCCACUUUGUUGUAUCAAGUAAUUUUACUUCCCCGUAUAUUAAUUAUUGUGUAUUGAACGGAAUCUGAGUAAUCCUUUUUUAGAAAACAGCAUAUAUACACUUGUGUAGUUGUAUGAGAUUAAUGGAGCAAGAACGGCAUGCAGUAUUGUCUUCGUCACAUCCACUAGCAGAAAAUUUCUAUUUGGAAAUGCUAAUUGAAAAAAGGUAUGCAGCAUUAGUAAUAUCCUUCUAAUAUGUGGUUUGAGAGAGAUUCCCGAUAAUGAGUGUUGUGUUGCUUGUAGAUAGAUUUUUCACGACUUCAACAUGUGCCUUCCUCCUCAUCGUGUGUUACCCUAAACCCCUAUGAGUUCAUAUAUCAGUUUUAAUUAUCAGCAAGUAAAUUUUGAUAUUCUAUAACGUCUGUAUGAUUAGAAUCCCAUGGGAAACUGUGUAUUUUUUCCUAAGACAAUAUAUGACUUCAGACUCAUAUACCUACGUGAACCUGCAUAAUUUUUAGAAUUUUUUUUGAACAAGGUAUAUGUCAUGUUAUUUUAAUUGGUUUUGGAAAACUUUAGUAUUGUUUGGUCGGGGCCACAUCAGAUGCACCUCUUGAGAAGCUGAAUGAUAAUUUUGAGGUGUCUCAUGAAAUCUAAUCAUAACUUGCCUUCUCAAAAGAAAAGGAAUACAUCAUUUAUUUGAUUCUUAGCUUUUGGUUAGAACCGUCAUGCAAAGUUUACCUCACAAACUGGAUUUUCCCCUAUACUAGCUUAUUCUUUGUUUUUCUUAAGAUUCAGCGAUAUAAAUGUUAGCAAAUAAACCAGUGUCUUGAUUAGUAGUUUGGCAGUGUUUCUAGCUGCAGCUUUCGUCAGUAGUUUCAGUUAGCAGUUCUCUUCAGUAGUUUCAGAAGUUUCAGUUAAACUGUUAGCGACGCCUGAGGACGUGGGCUGUACGAUCCCGAGGCGCGUUUGUAGGCCUGUAAGGACUUGUUCUCGGUCGUGGGAUGGCACGAUCCGAUAAGAGGGCAAGACCUGGGGCAUGUUUGUUUUCUGUUAGAGAUAAUAAAAGUGAAACAGAAAAGCAGCAUUCAGAGCGCUACACAAACCUUCAGUGUUCUUCCUCUAUUCUUCUUCCACCUUGGGUGAUAGAGAGAAAGAGCAGAGAGAUUUUGAGGGAAUUGUGAGUGCUGACAAUAAAAUCGAAUAUUCAAUAUGGAGCCAAAGCAGCUCUAGGAUGAACGGUGUGAAACAAAAAAAAGAAUAGAAAAGUCUGAUCUUUUUGCAACAAACAUAUUUGUAUCUUCUAACAAAAUACAUUUUUUUCUUGAAGAAACUCCAUAUUUAGUGAUUUGUGCUAGAAAAAGUGGUGCCCAUGGAAGUGUUUUAAGACUUAACAGCACCAAUUUUUUUUCUUCCAGAUCACAACAUGUUUUGUUUCUUCAUUAAUAUUUACACAGUUAUAAUGCUUGAUAUGCUUGAGUGUUUGGCAGGAGCACAUGAGAAGGAAAGAGGGAAACUGAUAUCACCAUAUUUAAUUGUCUUCUUAGGGACAUGUGAUUUCUUUUAAUAUGGUAUUAUGUAGUAUGCAUGGCUACACUAACCUAGGAUUGGAACAUAGAAGAAAGAGGACGGUUAGAGAUGAAGGCACUGAACAUCAGAAGACGGACACCGGAGUUGUCAUCAACAAAUCACCUCUUGUAAUUAAACUAUUCGAAUAUUUUGUCAUACGAUAUUUAUGCAGAUGUUGUUCCAUAGCAAUGUAUAACUACUACUCCCUCCGUAAACUAAUAUAAGAGCGUUUAGAUAGCUAAAGUAGUGAUCUAAACACUCUUAUAUUAGUUUACAGAGGGAGUACACUAGAAUAUGUGUUUGAACUCAGUUCUUACAUGUCAUGUGUCAGAUAUUUACAUUGUAUGAAUAAACUUCGGAUGACUGGCAUUUAUGAUGUUUUCAAUAUUGCGGAAUCAAUUAUUCAUGUGCAUGCAACACUUGAAUUUUAAUAUACUCUCGUAUGUAUGCAAAUUAUAUAUAAUGUGUUUCUAUUUGCGUUUCCUCUCUUCAUGGCGAGUUCUCUUGGAUUCAGAGAAAAAGCUGGCAGUGUCGUCCCGAUUGCCAAAUGUGUGGUCAGAUUUUCUAUUUGCAGUCAGUAAUGAGAAAACUGAGUAAGGGCUAAGGAGAACAAAAAGUCUUCCUGCAAGGUCAAGAUGGUGAAGAGAAGGUUUGGCUUGGACGAACAGUAUAUGUAAUCUCUAAGGAGACAAGUUCUUAUCUUGAAUCAAAUGGCAAGAGAUGUGGAAUUCCAUCGAUUUUUGCUCGAAAUAGUGUAUAGAAAUGGGUUCUUUGCAAGAAAGAAUGGUUUCUACUAAAAAGGCGGCCGGAAACCAUAUGUUUGGUUGCGCUCGAUGCCUACCUAUAAACAAUAUAACAUCGUUUGACCAAUGUCUAGGAACUUCUUUUUGCGGGACAUAGCAAUGAAUAGGAUCUUGGAAAUAGUUUAAAUAAACAACAAUGUUUCGCCUGAUCUUUUGUGACCCCGUAGCGUAGCACGGGCAUCUGACUAGCUAGUUAACUAUAAAACUGCAGACAGGGCACAAUUGGCUGCAUCCAUAGCAAGCACUGCUUGCAAGAACCGCUGCAAGAUAUCACAUUGUGCCGUGCCAAAUUGUGACCAAAUCAAAUAAGGAUAAGCAAAGAGUAUGCUGAAACACUCGACCAGCUCAUACAGUUGGCGGACGCAAUGACGGUGGGAAACCAGCAUACAGUCGACCAGGGAAGAUGGAUUUGCUAAGCCCAGCGAACAGCUCGACCUGCAACGUCUUCAGGUCCACUGAGAAGUAUCCAAACUUUAGCGCUUCUUGUGAUAGCUCCCCUUGUGAAGGUGUGGUGUAGAACCCUUCUAUAAGCAGGUAUCCCCCAGCAACACCAAUCAGAAUCGCACGGCUUAUGGGCAGUGGGAUGACCUUCUCUGACUUCCAGUGGUUAUUUCUCAGAACGCAGUACGUGAGGAUAUAUGAGCCGUAUUCACUGUACUGAUCAUACCAUAUAGUGAGCCUUCCAAGCGCUCCUUCCGCUGCCUCGACAAUGACAAACCGGCUUCUCCAUAUUCGUUCAGGUGGGAGGUUGACAGCAGAGAACUCCAGGGUGUGCUUGUCAAGUAGAAGCAACUUGUUCAGGAAAUGCAGAUUCCAACAGAAGGAUCCGUGGACCAACCUACGAUAAGACAGCCCACUCUCCGAUUUUUCAAACGAAGCAAAUGUAGCCUUAGCAUUCCAUUGGCAAUAAGUAUGAACUUGCCAUUGUCCAUCCAAAGACGAGAAGACGAGAAGCAGCAGAUGCAUCCUGCAUUCUGCCAGGCACAUUACUCUGAAUGACAAUGGGUCCUCCUCAUCAUCGCCGGGAGCAAGGAAAGUCUCUAGGCCAAGUAGGUCCGAUCGAUGGACCAUCGCUUUCAGGUUGCCGGGGACGGCGGGUAAUAGGACGUAGCGGCGGUGCACUGGGUCGCAGACGGCGAGGUCCCUCACAAGAAAUUCGCGAUACUGGAAAUCGCACACCUCGCCGUCAGGGCCCACGAGGAUGGCGCUGCCGCUUCCGUGUUCUACCGGGGUGCAGUCGAGGAGAGCACGUCCGUCGAAGAAGUCGAUCGGACUCCACGCACGGCCUGCGGUGGAGGGGAGGAAGGAGGAGCACGAGAAGUCGAAGUCGGCAAAGGCGCGGGCGGCGAGGGCGGAGGGGUGCGGAGGCAGGGCUGUGAGGAAGGGUUUGUGAAACAUGCCGAUGAGGGGCGGCCGGUGGAGGACACGAUAGCGGCGCAGGAAGCCGUGACCGCCGAUUACGCGGUGGAAGGAGGCGCAGGCGGUGGAGGCACGGGCAAGGUCCUCAGCCGUGGGGAGGCGGAGGAAGAUUUCCUCGAGGAGCUCAACUGGGGUUUGAAGGAACGGCGGCUCCGGCGGUUGUGCUGGGUGGGAGGGCGGCGGCGGCGCCAUCGGGUCAGGUGGAUCAGAUCGUCGACGAACGAACAUUUAUUUUUUCUUCUGUGGCGUCGUCGACGGGCUUAUGUGGAUCAGGUCGAUGGGCUUGCUGAGGAAUGAGCUUUGCUGUCACAGAGGAAAAUAUCUCACUCAUUUCUCAAAACAAAAAAAUCUAAAAACAAAAAUCUAAAAACAAAACUUCUCAAAAAGAAAUUCUCAAAACAAAAUAUGAAAAAAAGGCACUCUACCGGUGGCUUGUUUCAUAGGGAAUUCAACAAUUGUGAGUUGCUUUAUUAACAUUUUGGCAAGGAGAGUAGAUUCGUUGAUAAAUAUAUAUGAUCAUUAUCACACUAUAAAAAACCAAUGAAAAUAUUUUAUUGAGGCCUAUGCAUGAAUAAGCAGACAAUGAAAAAUAUAAUAGUUCAAUGGCACCUCAACGGUUUGACUCUUUUUGGACAACACUAUAAAAUUUGUCACCGGUUAGAAUUUUAGUGUUGUGAUAGUGCUAGAGGACUAUGUUGGACGGUCCAAAGUUAUCACAGUGACAACUUGUAAGGUUGGACGGUCUAGAGUUUUGUUGGGCCAAUGUCUUGGGGAGUUGAGUAAAUAGCAUAAAACUACUACUUUACAGGCUAAGGUUUCAAAAAACUACCGAAAAUAAAUUUUCUCUGAUAACUACCAAGUCAGGUGUCGGCUGUUUCAAAAAACCCAAAUUGCCGUGCGAUUUAAAAUCAAUCUAGAUUAUGACAGGUCGGGCCCGCACCUAAACAGGACGUUUGUUUGACUGUUAGCUUACACAUGGGGUCCACAUGUCAGCCUCAACCUCCUCUUUUGAAUCCUUUCCUCCCUGCCUCAUUUCGUCGAGCACCUUGUGUGCGUGCAGCUCGAUGGGGAGGAGAGCUCGGUUGCUCGUCAGGUACGAGAGGUUGGUUGCUUGUCGCGGAGGAGAGCUUGCUAGAUACGGCGCGCGGCCUCAGAUGUGACCAUGGCGGGACAGGCGGCGAAGGUCGAGGUCCAAGGCAGGCUGGUGCCGUUCAUGGCCGUACGCGGGCGCCGGGGCGCAACCGUCGCCAGCCAACGCCGGCGGCUCGAUUCCGGUGGCUGCCGUAGCUCUCGCCGACCUGGCCACCCUCGCACGAGUCGGGCCUGCGCUCGGCGGCGGGAGCGGUCACCGCUCGGACUCCGGGAGAGCAUGAGAGGGCUUGAGCGUGUGUUCGCUCCGGCGGGAGGGGGAGCCGGCUACGCAACACGACUGCGGGCGCGGGGACCGGUAGGCGGAGGUGGUGCGGUCCCGCCGGCGGCGGGGCACGACGGCGCGAUGCCGGGCCGAGCUCGGAGGGUGCAUCAAUGGCCGCAGUCGGCGAGUUUGAGUUCGAUGUGGGAGUAGGAAGGAAACAUGCGGGGGUGGCUUUUGGAGCGCGGCGGUCGACGGCGACCUCGCCGGCGACGACGAAGAACACCGGGAAGGCAGAUCGAUGGGCGGCGGCGCUGCCACGCUGGGUCGCGCGCUCGUUGGUCGCCCUCGCCCUCGUCCGUCACUUCUCUUUUUUUCAUUGCAAAUGUUAUUGCCAAUGACACGUGGGCCCUGCCGGUCAUAACGGGACAACUUAGCUGUUCAGUUAACCGCGUUGACUUCUGUGCCACGUGGGACCUGACGUGUGGGCCACAUCUAUCAGAAAACAGUUUAAAUCUUAAGCACACGGCGAUUUGGGUUUUUUUAAAACAGCCGACCCCUGACUUGUUAGUUAUGAGAGAAAAAUUUAUUUUCGGUAGUUUUUUGGAACCCUAACCUGUAAAGUAGUAGUUUUAUGCUAUUUACUCGGAGUUCAGCCUAGGGCCUAGAUGGCUCGUCAAACUAACUGGGACUCUUCUUUCCAUUCUUCUUCUCGCUCUGAGUCCCAUCUUUAUUGGUCAUCCUUGCUUCCUCACGGCCCUCACCUUCGACCCCAUGCAUACACAAGGCUCAUGUGUUAGCUUGCACACCAUCCUUACUCAUGUCAAGUAGGAAGUCCUUCACAACUUCUUUGUGAGAUUGAAACAGCAGGCAUGUCGGAUUGUGCAAGCACCUGAAUCCUUAUUUGCGAGAGUGCUAAAGGCCAGAUAUUUCAAGGUUGGUGGCUUCAUGGUGGCGACUUGCACAAAUGGAGGAUCAUACGCAUCGCAUAAUAUCCUUCACGGACGUGAUCUGCUGAAAUUGGAAAUUAUUUGAAGAAUUGGUGAUGGGUCUCAAUUGAAAAUUGCGGACAGAAAUCGGAUCCCUCGUAAAGGCUGUCUUAGAGCAUCUCCAGCCGUGCCCCAGGAAGGCCUCCCCGGCGCCGAAAAACCGGCCCAGUCGCGUCCCAGGAGCCCGAUUUUCGCCGGCCUGGGCCGAAAUCAACGCCGGCGGACCCAGGCCGAACCCGGCGCGCUGGGGGCGCCAGGGGCGCCGGGACGAGCGGUUUUGGCACAAAAAAGCCGCGGGCCAGCCGCGUCAGCGACAACGCGCCUCGUCUUCCCCCAACGCCUCGGUUCCCGUGGGGAAUCAAUGGCAAGGCUGCCGCCGGUCAGCCUUGCCAUUGAUUCCUCACGGGCGGCGCGUCACGGGAUGGCGCGCCGACGCCUCCCCUCCCUCGCACGCGUACACACGGGCGCGGCGCGGCUAUAUAAGCCGGCGGCCUCGCUCGCCAGUGGCCACACCAACCCCGCCCUCGCCGCCGAGCUCUCCCUCUACCUCUCCCGAGCGCCGCCGCCCAGCCCCUCCCUCUCCCUCCCCCUCUCCCGAUGGCCGAGCGUUUCCCCGGAGACGAGGCGGCGGCCAACGGCUUCGGCCGCCGCACGCUCCGCGAACAGGAGUCCUGGCUCCUGUUCCAGGCGAACAUCCCGGCGCCGCCGAACAUGCGCGCUGGCCCGACGGGCUGGAGGCUCGGCAACGGGGGAGUGCCCAUACCCCCGUUGCCCGACGCCGUGGCCAAACCCUCCUACUUCGCCGACGAGGUCGAGGUCGUGCGCGCCUCCCUCACCGAUGCCCAGCUCUCCCUCCUCCAGUACGCCGCCGACAACCACGCGGCUUGGGCGGCGUACUUCGAGCGCCGUCAGCAGCAGCGGAUAGCGUCCACCAACGGCGCGGCGGUGGUCGGCGGCCUGAAGAAGAGCGAGGGGCGCCACCUGUGGUGGGGCGUCCCCGGCCGCACACUCGAGGGUGUGCUGACACACCUCGAGGACGGCAACGACCCGCCGUUGGCGUACCCCCCGGCGAGGGCGGCCGCCCCGGCGCACCACCGACGCGACGGGCCAUGGGCGCCAAGGAGGUUCGGCUCCUCCUCUUCUUCCUCCUCCUCGCGCUCUUCCUCGCACUCCUCCGGCACUCCGGCCCUGCUCGGCGUCAAGGCCAAGCCCGCGGCGGAGACGCCGCUCGGCCGGCGCACUCGCAGCGCCGGCAUCGUCAUCAACGAGGGCGGCCGGCGCGCCUCCUCGUCGGCUCCUCCUCCGCGCUCCGUCAAGCCAAAGACGGAGCUGGGGCUCGCGCCGGUGAAGGCGGAGCCGGGUCUCCCCGCCGUGAAGACGGAGCACGGCGAGGUCGAGCUCGACGAUGACGCGACCCUUGAAUGGGCACGCCAGGACUCCCUGAAGAUGGCGAGGGAGCGCCAGUGCGCCGCUCUACGGCGCUUCGCGGAGCGCCAACAGGGCCGCGACGAACGAGGAGUCGUCGUCAUCAACGACAGCGACGACGACGACGCGCCGUCGCCGCCGCCACCAGUCCGCCAUGGCGACGCCGGGUCCAGCAGGGGCGCCCGCGUCAAGGAGAAGAAGGCCGACGAUGACGAUGGCGGUGAGGAUGGCGGCGACGAUGGCGACUACUCGGCGCUCAUCCAGUUUCUUUUUUAGAUUAGUUUAUAUAUUUGCUAUGUAAUGAAAAUCCGCGAACUUUGUCGGAAUAUAUGCCCAAGUUGUCCGAAAUUUGUCGUGUUUAGCCGAACUUCGCCGAACUUUGCCAAAAUUUGAUAUAUACUUUUAUUUUUUGAACGUGUUUAGCCGAACUUCGCCGAACUUUGCCAAAAUUUGAUAUAUACUUUUAUUUUUUGAACGCGCCUGGGGGCGGCCCUGGGGCCGGCGGCUGGAGACCAACUUACCCCAGGCCCUUUUUUGCGCCGGCUUACCCCCAGACGGCGAUUUUAGGCGCCCCCUGGGGGCCAACGGCUGGAGAUGCUCUUAAGCCAUUGGGCUUGCGGAAACUGCCGGGUGCUCGAUGUGUUGACCUGCUGAACAUACAUGGCAGGAAAUGGCACGGCGCGAAGGCUACUAGUAGUUCUUGGAGUAGGACCAGGCUAACAUAAAGCAAAUCGUCAUCGCAGGCCUGGAUACACAGGACUACUUGGCAUGGAACUAUAUAGAAAAUGGCCAGUUUACGGUGCGUUCAGCGUACCACCUGUGCAUGAAUAAAAAAAAGGAACAAAGCGGGGUGAGUCCUUUGCACCGGUCAGAUCUCGUCAGGGUUGGUUGGCGCUGUGGGCUGCACGGUACCAAACAAGGUCAAGGUGCACAUUUGGAGGUUAAUGAAGAAUGGUCUAGUGGUGGGGAGGAACUGCGGCAUCGACACAUCAAAAAGGGAGUUUUUGCGCUUCUUGUGGAUGUGAAGAGUACUUUUGGACAUGCCCACAUGGUUCAUUUUUGGAAGAGACUACAUAAAAUCACAGCAGCAUCGUGUGCUUCUAUACCUAAGAUCAUCUCUUCGCAUCACCAAAUUAGGUGUUGGUUGUUGGAAUGGCUGGGCAAAGGGAUGCAACGGCUGCCUCCUCUCCAAGAAAAAAUCUUAGGGUUCCUCUACCUCUCGUCGGCAACGCCACUAGUCUGCCUCAUCUCUAGUGGCCCUAGGGUCAUGGAGGCGCGGUGGACCCUGGCCCUAGCCGGCGAGAGGGGUCUUACUUCGUUUGUAUGUGUUUUGUGAGUUUGUUUAGAAUUUGUGUCUUUCUCAUGAAUUUGAGGCGGUGCCGGCUCCUUGAAAAUGAAAUAAGAUUCUCCAUGCCUAGCUCCUGUUGCGGUGAUGCAUCUAGCGUCGUAGGAGGGCGUGUGAAGGAUGUGUCUCCAUCUGCUCUCGCGGGAUAUGGUCGGUUGGUGUUUGGUGGAUCUGCUUGGAUCUAGUCUCAGUUCAUCUUCGUUCAUGUGUCCACAGGUUAGACCCUUUCAAUCUAUAGUUCACUUCAUCAUGACAGUUGCUUUCCGGAUGCGUCUUUUGUAGGAGGGCAUGAGGACUUUUCGACUGUCAACUACCCAAAUUUGGCCCGCCGGUGAGGGAGGGACGAUGAUGAUGGCCCGCGUUUGGCUCGCUCCUGUGCUUGUGGUUGUCGCUAGGUGAUCCACGAACAUGUAUGCAUUUUUUAUUGUGUUCUUUGUACUGUCAUGGCAUGAUGAAUAGACUGAAAAUUUUCGGAAAAAAAUAAUGGUUGGGGCAAGUUUCGGAUGCUAAGAAGUCAUUAAUGCUAGAGACGUUAUACCACUUUGGCUUUCUCUAUUUUUUGUGCGAAAAUUUCUAGUCUAUUCAUCUUCGAUCACGAUUGUAUAAGGAACACUAGAAAUAAUACAAAUUACACUCAGAUCCGCAAACCACCUGACGACAGCUACAAGCACCAAAACAAGCCGAAGGCACGCCGCCAUCAUCGCCCCUCACUCGCUGGAGCCAGGAAAACUUGUUGUAGUAGAUAGUCGGGAACUCGUUGUGCUAAGCCUCCAUAGGACUAGCACACCAGAACAACCACCGCCGCCAAUAAAGAGAAGUAGAUCAGAAGGAUCAAAUCUAAAGACACACAAACGUAGACUAAAUCUGAGCAGAGAUCCACCAAAGACAACCACCGACCGAAUCCUAUGAGAUCCACCGGAGAAACACCUCCACGUGCCCACCAAUGAUGCAAUAUGCACCACUGGGACGGUGGCUAGGCAGGGAGAAUUUAUUUCAUUUUUAAGGAGCCGUUACCGUCUCGUCUUCCUGAGAAAGACACAAACACUAACAAAACUUAAGGAAACAUCUAAAAACGAAGCCCUCCGCUGGCAAGAGCUGGGAUCUACCGCGCCCCAUGGCCCUAAGGCUGUAGGUGACAAGGCAGAUCGACAACACCGCCGACGGGAGGUAACAACCCUAGUUUGCUUAUUCACAUGGGAGAAACGAAGGGGUUAGUCGCGUGGAUCCCGUAGGUUGGCUUUCUGUGAACGAAGUGAAAAAUGUGUAUGUUGCUCAGCGGUUUGUGACGGUUUUUGCUUGGUCUUUCGUUAAUUAAUUAGAUAAAUAUUUUCUGCUUAAUUAAUGGAUGAGGCAAAUCAUUUGCCUCCAUUUAAAAAAAAUGACGGGAUGAUAUGCUCACUGGAUUUUAUGGCACACAAGGUCUCAGCACCGGUGGAGGAAUGGUCGCUGGUCAUGAGCUGAGAAGGGCGCCUUGACCUGUUCAGGUUAAGGAGCAUCGUUGGCUGCCACAUGAAGAUGGAUGGGUUAAAUUUUGUGAACAUUCUUGCUAACCCGUGAACAUCUUCAAUGUAAAAUUUCCCAAAUUCAAGAGCAAAUUUACAAAUUAGUGAACGCCAUUAAUUUUUCAAUAUAUUUUUCAAAAUCAUGAACAUUUUUUAAUCCAUGAUCUUUUUAUAAAAAAUCACUUACAUUUUCAAAUUCAUGAAUAUUGUCUAUUUUUUAAUUAGGGUAAAACUGUAAAUUUGUGAACAUUCUUGCUAACACAAGAACAUAUUCCAAACUCUAAAACCUUUUUUUUUGAAUAUUUUAUAAUAAUAUAGUAAAUGUUUAGGAAAACCAAUAACUAAUUUUCUAAGGCAGACGCCGCGUUGUUUUCAACCGAGUUUCUUAUCCGGUGACAUAUGAAGCUUUUUUCCUUGAUCGAGAGUGCACGAGGGAGCGCUUAUAGGAUCGUCCCAACCACACUUUAUAGGGACAAUUAGGAGUUCCCCUCUUCUGAAAUCAUGUUCCGCACGUAAAACAAGGAAUAUCGAUGUAACACGCCCCCCCCCCCUCCCCGUCGAUGAUUGAACCGGACAAUGAGAGGCGACCAACCAUUUGUUUGCUUGUUCAUUCGGUUUUCUAUUUUUUUAAUUAUUUUCCAUUUUUUGAAUUUCUACUAGUAUUUUAUUUCUUUCCUUUUGAAUUAAUGAACAACAUAAGAUAUGUUCAAAAUUUAGAGACAUUUUCAUAUUUUUUAAAAAGAAAGCCCAUGAUUUUUGAAAUUUGGGAACAACUUUUAGUUUUCUAACUUCUUUAAAUUCAAAAAUAUUCUUUAGAAUCCGGGAACAUUUUUAAAGUUCCCCAACCCUUUUUUAAUCAGUGAUUUUUAUAAAUUUAAAAACAAUUUUGUAAAAAUCAUGAAGUUUUUCUGUGUUUUGUAUUUUUUUGAAUAUUUUUAUAUGCCAUGCAUGGUUUUUAUAAGAAAAUAAAAUCCAUGAUCGGUUGGUUGUUUGCUGCAGGACGAGUCAGCCUAGCUAGUAGUGGUACACUCCCUGGCGACCUUAGUUUUGUUCCUCGGUGAGCUGAAUUUUCCAGAGUAAACGACCACACAUAAUGCAAUCUUUGUUUAACAUGUUGUGUGAACAUGCGAACCAGCCAUCACACGUCGAGCUCCGUGGAAGUCCAAACCAGAGACCACACGGAGUAUAGUUAGAGCAUCUCUAACGCCGGCCCUAAAACCGCCGAGCCCCGUGAUUUAGCCUUUUUAAUCUUUGAAGGAGACAAGCCUCCGAGCUGGGAGUAAACAAGCCAAACUUUCUACUGUUACGAGGGAAGUAGCUAGGAAAGAAGCCGCUCGCAAACAAUCUCAAGAUUCUAUACCGUUACUUAAAAGCGGGGUAGUUGUAUACUUAUUGGGCACACGUUGACAUUAAUAAUGAUCUACAGACCAGAUUAAAUAUGAAUGGACGCUUCACACACAUGAGCACAAAGAUUACGGAUUACUGCUCACCAAUGCGCCUUGAGACCUGCGGUAGGUAUACCGACUCGCAAUGCGCAUGCAUGAGACUAACACAUGCAAGCUGCCAGAAAUAAUAGUCAAGGUGACCAACGCAGAGAUGGUGCUUGCUCGACCCGAGGGUGCCGUGCCUCCUCAUCGCACGUGUGAUCAUUGACAUCCGCAGGGUGCUCCCAUAGUCCCCGAGACCUAUGGUUGUGAGAAAGAGCGUGCCGCCCAUGCUCCUCAUGGUAUUAGGCGUCUGCUCGUCAGUCCCCUCUAAUAUCUCAAUUUGCAGUCUUGCACCAUCACACAAUAGGAAAAUAUAGUGUAGAUAUGAUACCAAGAUCAUCAAACUGAUGUUUGGUAGAGAAAUGCUACAUUAUUUUGAUUCUUGGCUAAAUAAGCAGAAGGGCCGGAAAGUGUAAACACCAAUGAAUAUGGUGAAACAUGAGAUGUAUAUUGGGUCAAUACCAUUGAAGAGACGUGACAAGCAUGUGGCAAGUAUGACAAGGUAACAUGUACAACUCAUGAGCUGCAUUGCUACUUAGAUUUUAUUAUUAUUGGUUGACAAAAAUCUAUCCAUACAAGUAGCAUGUGACAAGAUUUUGUGCAUGAUUUAUCACACUAUCUUGAUGAUCUACCUUUCCUGGAUUCUUUUUAUGUGACCUUUCCUAGACUUGAUUAUAUAGUAGUUUGAGCUAUGAUUGUCCAAGCAAGUAAGCAUAUUGCAGAAUUAUUCGAAGUUCCACAUGAGAGUGGUGACCCUAGAAUUUAUAUUUUGUUUCAUGUCGUGCCGUGGUCUUAUUAUGAGAGACCAACAUGCAUACUAAGUGUGGGUGCGCUCGCAUUUAACAUUUAUUUACAGUUAAUUAUGCAUGAGAAUACAAGAACGGCCGAGAAGAAGGAGAUCAAUAGCGCGGGGGCGUUUGUAGCCUCGCUAAAAAUGUUGUCUCAGCUGAACAGAAACCAUCUUUACUUGUUUCUACGGGGGUCGCCAGCAAGAUUUGAGUAGGCUAGGAGCACUCACAACAUGUCAUGAAGGGUAGAACGGAAUCAAUGCUCAUCAAGAAAUGUAGCUUUGUCCGCAUAUAGGUGGAAUCAACAUAAAAGUUCCCAAUACGAAUAUGUGAGUUGUUUGAUCAGGUUGUCUAAGUGAGCGCUCCGACAAUGCAAGGAUGAGAAAUAACCAGAGACGGAGAAGACAAGAUCAUCCCAAACGGAGACCAGCCUGCCAAGUUUUGCUAUACCUAUGGACUAAUCUUACGAAAUUAAAAUUAACAGAUGAGACUGGCUAUGCCUAGUGGGAAGGGGNNNNNNNNNNNNNNNNNNNNNNNNNNNNNNNNNNNNNNNNNNNNNNNNNNNNNNNNNNNNNNNNNNNNNNNNNNNNNNNNNNNNNNNNNNNNNNNNNNNNNNNNNNNNNNNNNNNNNNNNNNNNNNNNNNNNNNNNNNNNNNNNNNNNNNNNNNNNNNNNNNNNNNNNNNNNNNNNNNNNNNNNNNNNNNNNNNNNNNNNNNNNNNNNNNNNNNNNNNNNNNNNNNNNNNNNNNNNNNNNNNNNNNNNNNNNNNNNNNNNNNNNNNNNNNNNNNNNNNNNNNNNNNNNNNNNNNNNNNNNNNNNNNNNNNNNNNNNNNNNNNNNNNNNNNNNNNNNNNNNNNNNNNNNNNNNNNNNNNNNNNNNNNNNNNNNNNNNNNNNNNNNNNNNNNNNNNNAGGUUAAUGGAGAGAUUAGCACGUAUAGUGAGAUUGUAGAAAAAUUGUCUUAAAGUACUCCACCCGAUGUGUCAGCUGCAUCCAUGCAAACUAGAGAUAGCAAGGGCAGAGAAUUUGAGGGUGAGGAGAGGAUCUUUGAUUCUUGUAGAGCCAAGAACUACGGCCGAAACAAAGAGAGCUCAGCUCUAAUCAUUGCAUAUUUGCAGUGAACAACAUGACUAGCUUUAAAUAUCUAUACCCCUAAUAGUGUGUGAAUAACUUUGAAAGUUGGUCGUUGGAUGAAACCAAUCCGACGGUACAAAGAUGGCAAAUCCGAACACUACUGGCCGUUGGAUAUCAUCUACAUUCCACCAGAUUCUGCCACAUGUAGAAUAUAGAAGACUCCAUGGUUGAACUUAAGCAUAAUGCGCAAACCUCAAAACACAAGCACUUCUCCUUUGUUCUAGAAUCUUCCAUAUCUUAAUUGCCCAAACUUCUUUUUUCAAAAUGAAUUGACACUAUUUGUUUUUACUUUGUGCUUUACAAUGCACAAUUCCAUGAAUCUAAAAUAGAUUUUUUUUAUAAAACUAAUUGAUUUUGAACUAGAUGAACUAUAAGAAUUAAACGAACAUCUACAUCAUGCAUAUAUGACUCAAAGCUUACAUGCCAUAGUGUGUUAUUUAUUCAUAAUUUGGUUACCAAAUCUCAUGCGUGCAAUGCACGUGUGCCUUACUAGUUUUUUGAUAGCUUAUGUUAAGUCAGUGAAUCGGUGAGCCAAUUUACAGAAGUUGUCCAUAGUUUUUGGUAAGGGGUGUGGUGAUGCUAGAAAGAAGGAUCUCAAAGAAAUCAUUGGAUUGAUUUUGAGGCUCUUGACUACCCCCCCCCCCCUAGCUAGGCACACCAAGACAAAUGUCUACAUGUGAGGUACUCGGUUAGUUAGGUACAAUUAAGGGACAUCUCAUUAAUUAGAGUAACCACUUAGCUAGUUCUAUACUGACAUUCAUGUCCCCUGCUGCUCUUGUCCAUAGGUUAUGAUUUGCAAUUACGAAUCCACCAUGGAUAGACUCUAGCUAUGUGCUAGUUAUGAAUCCAACGAAGAGGAAAGAGAGGUCGCCUCAACAAAGGGGGGAUUCCUGAUGGUGAUAUUGAGCACCUUUGUGCCGAACGGCGAACUGGGCGUCUGGGUUGGGGCUCAACCAUCUAGGCAACCAAAAUUGACACUGGUGGCGACGUAGGCAUUGGGGUUGGGGCUGGCGGCAACCUAACAAUCAUGUCCGGAUGGGGUCAAGAGGGGUGGCGGUUCUUGAUGGGGAUGGCAAUUUGAGGCAGAGGAGGGAGAAGAAGCAAGGUAGGAGGGCUACGUGCGAGGCAAAAGAUGCAGGGUGCGAGGAAGAAGAGGCGGGGAGUGGGGUGGUGGAAAGCAUCAAAAUCAGUGGCGGCAAUGAGAGUAUGCCCGAGGUGACGCCCUCUACUAUUGUGUGCUAGAUAACUCUAUCGGGUGGGCUAGUUACUAGAGUAAGGUAGAUUCCAAUGGGCGAAACAUGAUAGCCUAAUUGUUAUUAUUUUGCCGACUAAAGCGUUUUUAGUGGGAUGGGUUGGUUACUCAUAGUUUUAGUCCCAUUUCCACCCGCAUCUCUAUGGCUUGCUUCAAACAACAAAGAGGUGUGUGUGAGAAUGUAACGUCCAUUAUUCGACAGUUUUGGUGGGGCCCUAAGAAAGGGAGAAGGAAGCCCUGUUGGGUUGCAUGGGUUGUCAUGACCACACCAAAACACAUGUGAGGCCUUGGUUCCCGUGACUUCAAGAUUUUCAAUCUGGCACUUCUCUCUAGAUAGGCAUGGCGAGUUAUGAAUGAUUCAGAAUCUCUCAGUGCUAAGAUCCUGAAAGAAAGUUACUUCCUGGACUAUUCUUUGCUGGAAGCUGAAUAGGGCUCACACCCUCACAAAUCUGGCGAGCGAUCCUUGAUGGACGUAAUAUUAUGGCUCAAGGCAUCAUAAGAAGAGUUGGGGAUGGUGAGACGACUUAUAUAUGGGAUCAUCACAAUUGGAUUCCCAAGGAAAUUUUCAAGCGGAUGAUCGUCUAACUUGUCCAAGAUCCAUCGCAACUAGUGGCAGAGCUAAUCAAUGCUACGUGUGUCGCAUGAAAAGAAGAAUGUGGUACGGCCAGUUUUUACCCCCUUUGACGCAUAAGCAAUUCUUAACAUUCCGUUGUGCACGAGGAGAAUUGGAGAUUUUUUGGGUUGGAGUAAGGAAAACCGCGACAACUUCUUUGUCCAUUCUGCCUACCUUAUGAUCGUUAGAACAAAGAUGUGUAGGGAGAGUUGGCUGGAGGAGAGUGCAGGUUUGCCUGAUAUGGCAUCUAAAAGUAAGGGAUGGAGCUCAGUUUGAAAAAUCUUAACCCCUUCAAAGCUCAAGGCGUUCCUAUGGCGUCUAGUUGAACAGUUGAUUCCCACGGGCGACCUCCUUCACCAUAGGAACUAGGCGACGACAAGCAUACGUCUUUGUGCGGUGCACACGUUACUUGGAGACACACCCUCCUGCGUUGUUCCAUGGCGAGAAGCAUGUGGGCUCAGUCCUCGGAGUCGAUGGUAGAGAGGAAGGCAAUUCAUGAGGAAAUAUUUCAGAGCCUUCCCCCCAUUGUUUCAUCGCAUCUUUUAUGUCUGAAAUNNNNNNNNNNNNNNNNNNNNNNNNNNNNNNNNNNNNNNNNNNNNNNNNNNNNNNNNNNNNNNNNNNNNNNNNNNNNNNNNNNNNNNNNNNNNNNNNNNNNNNNNNNNNNNNNNNNNNNNNNNNNNNNNNNNNNNNNNNNNNNNNNNNNNNNNNNNNNNNNNNNNNNNNNNNNNNNNNNNNNNNNNNNNNNNNNNNNNNNNNNNNNNNNNNNNNNNNNNNNNNNNNNNNNNNNNNNNNNNNNNNNNNNNNNNNNNNNNNNNNNNNNCCCCCGGGUUGUUUGUGCAAAUAACAACGUCGAUGCAAUAGUGUCAAGGAACGACGGGUUCAGUGAUGUUGGUUCAACAUGCACAGACCACAACAGGGCCUUUUUGGGAGCGUGUCUGCAGUUGUUUUCAAUGGCAUCUGGACCCAACUACACCAGAAGCACUUACUGCCAGAGAAGCCACGGACGUUUGAGAUGAUCUAUAUAUUCAACGAAUUGAUGUUGCCUCGGGUUGCAAGGUGGUGGUAUGCUGUAAAGCAAGGAAGUUCUGCGAGCUACGGAGCAAUUAUCCACGAGAUCAUUGACCAUCCGUCAGUUUUUUAUUGUUUGUCAUACAGUCUAUGAGUUUAGAAGAUCAAGUUUUGAAGCUCACAAUCUAGCAAAGCAUAUGCUUUAUCUCUGGGACCGUCCGUUAUGUUUAAUUAGGUCAAUCCGACAAUUUUUUUUCCGGCUCUGUAAAUAUUGUGAUGGUUUAAUAAAAGCUUUGCGAGAUUUCUGCUAAAAAGAAGCUUCCACCUGCAGCUUGGUGUCAUUGCGUGUGUGUGACCAAGAUUCCUCCGUCGCCUUCGUCCGUCAGGUGUCGACAGCAACUGGCCACCGUGAUUCCGUACUCACUCACCACCUGUGUGUCGCGCAUUUGGCUGGCACAUAAUCUAACUUGCCACUCGACUCGCCUGGGACGCAAGAGAAGGCGACGACUCUUGAAGCAACCGCUCCUCCCUUCCUCUGCUCUGCACCAACCCCCACGGCCGGCCCCAAUCGAACCAGGUGAGGGAGGCUGCCAACUACGCGGGCUGCGGCGGCGGCGAGACCGAGGAAGGGAGGCGCGUCCGGCGGCCUGAAGAUGGCCGCGCCGGGCGCCGACGAGCACCGGAAGCGGGGCCGGGGACGGCCCUCCCGCGCCGAUCUGCUCCUCAACUGCGACCUGCCCCCACCGGCCAAGCUCUUCGGCCCUCUCCCGACUCUUCUGCACAGGUAAGGCGCGUCCCCUUCACGGAUUGGCCGGGGCGCAUCGCUCAUCUUUCUUGUUUUUUCCCUUUUCGCGCGAGGAAAGAGAAAGACUGGAGAGCGCGGCGGGGACGGACAAGAAGGGCGACGGCGGCAACGAGGACCUGCGGCGGGCGCUGCGGCUGUCGCAGUCGCGGGCGCGGGAGGCGGAGCAGAAGCUGGCCGCCACCAACGGAGGCCUCGCGGCGCUGCUCGUGCGGGACUCGGUGCUGCUCUCGGCGCACCGCCGGUGGGUGAUGAUGCUCGAGGCCGACAACUCCGCGCUCAGAGCCGCCGGCGCCGAGCCUGAAGAUGAUGAGGAGGAUGGGGAUGGCGCCCGGCGCGGUGUCGCGGCCGCGUGGUGGGUCGCGCUGGCGGUUUGCGUCGUCGGCCUCGCCCUCGGCGCUGCUCGUGUUGGACCGAGCCUAAUCCUGCUCUGAAAUUAAGUUAAUUAACCAUCCAUCCAUAGUUGGUUAUUACAGUGGUUAAUUAUGUGAGAAUGUUAACAUCUGCUUCAUGCUCUGCAUUGGAACCUCGUGUUGUAGAUGAAACAGACGAAAUCAGGAGGGGCUGGAUAGCUUGCAGGAUUGGUAAAUUGGCACAGAAGCCGCCAUAUCCAUUUCUGCACGCUAUCUAUCUAUAUAUUCAUGACAGUGACUUGCCUCUUGGAGUACAAUUUAGCCAUGGCACCAGUGGCGGAGCCAGGAUUGGCUAACGCCCCAGGCGAGAAAUUAAGAAUAAAAAAAUACCCCCGCCCCCUUCCCCCACAUAUUAUUUUCAAUGCAUAUAAAAGUCAAGUUAUAUGGCACAGCUAAUAAAAACCCAAACACAAUGUUGAAUGGCAGUAUUUGUUAAAUGACGGUUUAACUAAUAAAGUAAGACAUAUUAAAAGACAAUAUCUAGCAUAUAAAUGAUACAAAAGAUGGUACCAAAUCAAAGGAUUGAUUGAUAUGAGGCUCCUAUGAUUGCAUCUUCAAUAAAGUAAGACAUAUGACGCCUCUCCUCCAAGGGCGACUAGGGUUCGUACCGUCCGUCGGCGGCGACGCCGAUCUGCCUCGUCUCUCGUGGCCUUAGGUCCAUGGGGCGCGGUGGAUCCCGGCCCUUGCUGGCGGGAGUACUCCGUUUUUAUAUAUUUCUUUGAGUUUUUUUGGGUUUAUGUCCUGCUCAAGAAGGCGAGAUAUCGACGGCUCUCUGAAGAUGGAAUAAGGUUCUCCCUGCCUAAACUCCAUCCGAAUGAUGCGUCUAGCAUCAUCGGACAGCGUGUGGGGGUGUUUCUCUGGCGGAUCUCGCAUAAUUCAGUCGGUGGUUGUCUUCGGUGCGCUUGUCUUAUAAGGCAUCAUUACUACCAUCAUUGAAGAUGAAUAGAUUGAAUGUUUUUCCGCAAAAAAAUUAUAAGUUUUGAAUUACAAAUCGGUGCAUUUAGGUAAAAUUAUUUUUUGAACUUAGCAGGUUUAAUAACAAAUGCAGAAUGUGAAUUACUAAAUCGGAUUCCACAUUUAUGUUCUCUGCAAAACAACAAAACUAAGGAAAAGAAUAUGAAAAGGGAAAAUCAUUAAGAAUUAAAAAUCAUGUCUAAAUCAAGCAUCAAACAGUGGCAACUAGCAAGAGAAAUUCCCCGCAAAAAAAUCUAGCAAGGGAAUUUGGGAUUUGAAAAUAGUGGCAACUGGCAAAAGAAAUCUCUUCAUUUAACUAACCUAAGACGGGUCAAUUCCUCGUUUCUCGACAAAAGACUCACGUACGCGAUGCACUAGCAGCACAGGCCCUUCUGUCUUUCUUGUUCUCGUUUACUUUUUUGAUAUUGGCCUGGCCAAUGGCCCAGCAGAGGGGUAGGAAGUGGGCUGCGCCCAGACCAGCUUUUCUUUCUCGCUAGGAAAUUUCUCCAGCCGGCCUGGCCAAUGGCCCAGGAAGCGGGGUAGUUAGUGGGCUGCGCCCCAGGCCAGUUUUGUUUUCUCUAGAUAUAUAGGCUGGGAAAUUUCCCACGCCCCAGGCCAUUGCCUGGGCUGCCUGGGGCCCAGAUCCGCCCAUGCAUGGCACAGUGAUCCAUGAACGCUGACUGCCACAUUUCUCCGGGUAUAUACAGGCUAAUUAAUGUCGCAAGGUUGGAAUUGGUGGCUAAUCCUGGAGGCCUUGUUUGUUCUAUUUGGUCUUUCAGCUGAUGGUGGUGUCCUUCAGGUCACCUGGUUUCAGCUUAUGUUCAGUGUCAGCAGUGUAGCCUUCCUUUGCCAGGUUCAUUAGAUGUCUUUAUCCCUCUGGUUAGUGUCUUCUCGUGGAAGCACAUUUUUUUUUUCAAGAAGUAAAUAUGUGCCUCCAUGAGAAGCAAAUCCACACUUCUCGUGGAAAGAACAUGUUAUCUCUCACUUCCCGAGAACCAAAACUGUCCUUCUUGCGAAAACAAAUAUAUGCCUCCACAAGAAGCAAAUAUGUCAUGGACGCACACAUUUUUUCAAUUUUCGAGAAUUUGCAGGAACAAAUCUGUGACUCCAUAAGAUGGAAAUAUGUGCUUCUCGUGGAAAACACAUAUUUUUUUCCCUUUUCAAGAAAGACAGUUGUGUUUCUCGCAGAAGCAAAUCUGUGCUCCUCGUGAAAAUACAAUUUUUUUUCCGCUCAAAAAUAAAAAAAUCCGUGCAAAAAAAUUCUCCAAAACCUAGGAAAAACCAAUGAAAACAGAAAAGAAAAAAAAACUAUCUAAAACCCGAAAAGACGUACAAGGAUCUAGACGAAGCACCCAACACACAUCAAGAAAAACCAACACGCGAC
rnacentral:lncRNA from 1 species